UUCGUUUUAACCACAUAAUCUAUCUAUCUCUCACCUAUUGCUUACUUAAAUCUCAUGCAUAUUUUACCUACUAAUUUUUAUAAAUAUUAGUCAAAUAUAUUUUAUUACGUUUCUCUCGUAACUGCUCCAAAUGUGUACUAUUAAUACUUAACCCUCCCUUACCGUGCAAUCUAUCUAUAUUUUACCUAUAUUUUACCCCAAAAAAUAUAUAAAUAAAAGAAAAAUAAUAUGUGGCCAUUUGCAUAUAACUAACAAAGCAUUGACGGCGUGUAGCCUUUCAAUACUUCACGAGUGGCUUUUCUUGUGUGUUAGUACUUGUAAUAAUUGUGUAGCGUAUAAAUGACAUUUUAUUAUUAAAGUGCGUCCAUUUUUAGAUAUUACUUAUUAUUUGAAAAAUAAUCUGAAUAUAAUUCUUUUAAAAUACAGGGAAGAUACCACCUGAAAUUGGUAAUCUCCGAAAUCUGGAGCGGUUGGGCCUUGGUCUCAACAAAUUAAUUGGUACUGUCCCAGCUGCAAUCUUUAAUGUGUCAACACUCAAAUCUCUUGAGCUUCAAGAUAAUUCUCUCUUUGGAAGUAUUUCGUCCAUCAUAGAUGUCCGACUACCAAAUCUUGAAAGGCUACUUUUGUGGGGUAAUAAUUUUAGUGGCACAAUUCCUCGCUUCAUCUUUAAUGCUUCUAAGCUCUCUAUACUAGAGUUUUCAAAAAAUUCAUUCUCCGGUUUUAUUCCCAACACAUUUGGCAACUUAAGAAACCUUCAGAAGCUGAGAUUAUAUGAUAAUUAUUUGACAUCUUCAACUCCAGAAUUGAGCUUUCUAUCCUCUUUGUCAAAUUGCAAGUCUUUAACACAUAUUGGCUUAUCAAAUAAUCCACUAGAUUGCAUUCUUCCUAAGACGUCUAUCGGAAAUCUUUCUCAUUCUUUGGAAGAUUUUAAAAUGCACAAUUGUAACGUUAGUGGUGGCAUCCCUGAAGAGAUAAGCAACCUGACCAACUUGACAACCAUUGAUUUAGGAGGCAAUAUGUUGAAUGGAUCAAUUCCAAUUACUCUCAGCAAAUUACAGAAGCUUCAAGGUCUGCGUUUUGAAGAUAACAAAUUAGAAGGAUCAAUCCCUGACAGUAUUUGUCGUUUGACUGAACUGUAUGAGUUGGAGUUGGGUGGCAAUAAGCUUUUUGGAUCAAUCCCUGCAUGCUUCAGUAAUCUGGCUUCUCUGAGGAUACUGUCGUUGGGUUCCAAUGAGUUAACUUCUAUUCCCUUAACUUUUUGGAACCUUAACAAUAUCUUGUACCUCAACUUUUCUUCAAAUUUUUUUACUGCUCCACUCCCAUUAGAGAUUGGAAAUUUGAAGGUUUUGGUUGGAAUGGAUUUUUCGAUGAAUAACUUUUCAGGCGUUAUCCCAACAGAAAUUGGAGGCCUAAAAAAUCUAGAAUAUCUCUUCUUAGGAUAUAACAGAUUGCAAGGAUCAAUUCCUGAUUCAUUUGGUGACUUGAUAAGUUUGAAAUCCUUGAAUUUGUCUAAUAAUAAUCUCUCUGGGGCUAUUCCUGCAUCUUUAGAGAAACUCUCAUAUCUUGAAGAUCUAAAUCUUUCUUUCAACAAGCUGGAAGGAGAAAUUCCUAUGGGAGGAUCUUUUGGAAACUUCUCAGCUGAAUCAUUUAAGGGAAAUGAAUUAUUAUGUGGUUCACCCAAUUUACAAGUCCCGCCAUGCAAAACUAGCAUCCACCGCACAUCAUGGAAAAAUUCUCUUCUCCUCGGGAUUGUGUUGCCAUUAAGUACUGUAUUUAUGAUAGUAGUCAUUUUGUUGAUCCUAAGAUAUCGACAUAGAGGAAAACGGCCAUCGAAUGAUGCUAGUAUGCCACUAGUAGCAAUGUGGAGAACAUUUUCAUACCUAGAACUCUGUCAAGCAACAAACGAAUUCAGUGAAAACAAUCUAAUCGGCAAAGGGGGUUUUGGCUCUGUUUACAAGGCAAGACUUGGGGACGGGAUGGAGGUUGCAGUGAAAGUUUUCAAUUUGCAAUGUGGAAGAGCAUUGAAGAGUUUCGAUGUUGAAUGUGAAAUGAUGAAAAGUAUUCGCCAUCGAAACCUUAUCAAAGUUAUUAGCAGUUGUUCAAAUGAAGAGUUUAAAGCGUUGGUAUUAGAAUACAUGCCUCAUGGAAGUUUGGAGAAGUAUUUGUAUUCAAGUAACUGCAUUUUGGAUAUUUUUCAAAGAUUGAACAUAAUGAUAGAUGUUGCAUCAACUUUGGAAUAUCUGUACUUUGGUCAUUCAGCUCCAAUAAUUCACUGUGACUUAAAGCCAAGCAAUGUAUUGUUAGACGAUAAUAUGGUUGCUCAUUUGAGUGAUUUUAGCAUCGCAAAAUUGCUAACAGGAGACGAUCAAUCUAUGACUCAAACACAAACAUUUGCCACAAUAGGCUAUAUGGCACCAGGUUUGUCAAUAAAAAAAUUUUCUAUUUCUUGUAAACUUCCUAAUAAGUUGUUUAUGUUUCAUGAUCUUCAUUAGAUGAGGAAAUUCUUAUUGAUGAUAUAUCUUACUAUGUAACUAUUGCAAUUCAUAGAGUAUGGAAGAGAAGGACGAGUAUCCGCAAAUGGAGAUGUUUAUAGCUUCGGGAUUAUGUUAAUGGAAACUUUUACUGGGAAGAAACCCACAGAUGAAAUUUUUAACGAAGAAAUGACAUUAAAGCAAUGGGUUAAUGAUUGGCUACCCAUUUCCACAAUGGAAGUUGUUGAUGCUAAUUUGCUUAGUCCGGAGGACGUACAUUUUGUUGCAAAGGAGCAAUGUGUGUCAUUUGUCUUCAAUUUGGCUAUGGCGUGCACUGUGGAAUCUCCUGAGCAGAGAAUCAAUGCGAAAGAAAUUGUAACAAAGCUCUUAAAAAUUAGAGGCUCAUUACUUAGAAAUGUUGGAGGCAGAUGUAUAAGACAAUCAAAUUUAAAUUAAUUCUGCCCCUCCAUUGCUUGCUAUCCUUUUCAAAGACUUGAACGGUUAAACUUCAUACCAGUUUUGUUGAUAUGUUUUGUUAUUGCUCUUGCUCAUGUUUGUUUCUCUAUUUCUUUAAUUUGCAUGCAUGUAUUUUUCGUUCUCUUUUAUGUUUUUGUUAGUUUGUAUGUAGUUUGUUUUUAGGGGUAAGGUUGAUUAUGUCCUCCCCUAAUUAGACGUAUCCUUUUUAUUUUUAUUCAAUAAAGCUUCUCUAAUACUAUCGAGGUUCAUCAACAGAAAAUUUUAAAUUAAUUUUCUUUUCUAUGUUAGAUAAUGAAAUUCUAAUCUUCAUAGUGAAUAACUUCAAUAAUAGAGUGUAAGAGUAUUAGUAGUUAUGGUUGUUUUCUGAACCUGAAGUCAAGAGCAAUUUAACAGCAACAAACAAGUCUCUUGUAUUAUAGGCAAAAUUCUUUUCAUUAAUCUUAUUUGUCUACAUAUUCUCCUAUUUUCUCCAUUAAUCUUCGCUCAAAGUUUCAUGCUUCCUCUUUGAUAAAGGAAAAUAUUACUCGUGAAUAUUUCAAAUUUUCAAUUUGACAUGAGCGACUGUUUGCCAGCCAUUUGAUAAAAUGGAUAUGAGUGGAGUUUUCAAUCAUUACCUCCUCCAAAAUCCUUACAACACCACUUUUUAAUUUUAUUUUUUAUAAUCCAUUCAGUUUAAUUUAAAAAAAUAAAUCCAUUUGUGGAAUUUAAUCUUUUUCUCAUAAAUUUCAACCUAAAAAAUAUAUUUCUCUUAAAUUUUUAUUACAAAAUAUUUACAAGUUCUAAACUAUUAAAUUAUUUUCUUCUUAUUAUAUAGUUUAUAUCUCCAUAACUCUAAACUCCUAUAAUUUUUUAAAAAAAUAUUUUUUAAUUUAAAAUAUAAAUAUAAAAUAUAGAAUGGAGUGAGAAUAAAAAAACUUGUUAAAAGAAUAAUUCAUUUAAGUAUUUAACUGAAUUUUAAAUUAAAAUAAGAAAUAAAUUAAUUUAUUUUUAUUAGUUAAGUAAUUUUCAAUUGAAAAAAAGCUUUUAGUAAUAUUAUUGAAAUAUGAUUAAAAUUCUUAUGAAUUAAACAUUUCGUAUAAAUACUAGUGAUAAUUACAGAGAAAGUAUGAUGAAGUGAAAAAACUUAAAUAUAAAUACUCUAGUAUAAUUUUACACAUGCAACUUAUGAACCAGUGAUCUUUAGAGCAUCAUAAAAUUGUUUUAACACAAUUAAUUGGUUUGAAAAAUUGCCAAUAAUGUCUACAAUGGGAUUUAAAAGAUUAAACUACAUAUAUAAGACAUGAUAUCAUUUAAGACGGCUUACAGAUUAUGAGAAAUAUUUUGAUCUUCCAAAUAUUUAAAAUGUCAAUUAGACUGAGUCUAUGCAAUGAAAAUUUCAAAUAAAAAAUAAACCCUUUUUUUUCUUUUAAUCAUAAGUGUGAUCUUAAUCAUUAAAGUCAUUUAAUGUCCAUUACUUAUUCAUUUUUUUAAUUACCUAAAUGACAUUGAAAACUCUACUCAAUAUUAAUUCAUUCAAAUGUUUUGUUUUAAGGUAAUCAGAAACUGCAAAUGAAACAAAUGCUUGAAAUCACAAACGGCCUAAAAUUAGAUUUUCAUUUUUCAAUGUUGCAGUGACUUUGAUCUUGAUAUUGAAAAUUUAUUUGUAACUUAUAUAAAUGCCUCAAUUUUAUCAUAAUUGGUUAGUAAGGCUACGUAGGGAGCAUGGAUAAAUUUUGGGAUUGGAUUAUAUUUUUGGAACUAAAAAAUUAAUUUCAUCCAAUGUUAUAUUUGGCUGUCAGAACUAGCAACUUAGUCUAAAAUUAUUGAAAUUAUUAAUCUUUUAUAUUAUAAUCUUUUCGUUCCCACUUUAAAUAUUAUUGGUAGCUUAAAUCAUUUUUUAAAAUUAAAUAUAAAAAUUAAUUUAAUUAAAUAUAAAAAUCAUUUAAAUUAAAUAUUAACAUUAAUUCAUAAUUUUUACCUAGAAUUUUAUACUAUAUUAAAUACUAAAAUUAUAUUCGAUAAUGUAUUAUCAUUUAUUUAAUAAAUGUUUAGGUUUUAGUAUGUUAUAUUAUUAUUUAAAUUAAUUUUUUAUUUACAUAUAAACAUAAAUUAUUAUUUACUAAUUUAAAUUUAUUAUAAUUAGUUAAAUAAUAAAACAUAAAUGAUUAUGUUGAAAAUAUAAAUAGUAUUCUAAUGUAUUAUAGUCUAAAUCUUACCCCUAUGAGAUUAUUUUAUACACCUUUUAUUAUAUUAACCACAUUUAUAAUGCAGUGCAAUGUAACAAAAAAUUAUAACCAAAUAUGAGUUAGCAUGAAAAUAAUAUUUUAGUGCAAUAUAAUACAAUGUAAUGUAAGCUAACAAAUGGAUAUUUAAUGGAAGCAAAAAUUGCAUAUGGCUUGUGGGUCUCUUAAAAGACAAUGAAUAAACCAAUAUGAUACACUGAUUCUGUCAUCUUUAAUGAUGUCUUUACUAAAUGGGAAUCAGAAUAAGUUAGAAUUGGAAUGAGCUUGAAUCGAAAUAAGGAAUUAUAAUAAAAAUGAAUUGUUUAUUUAAUUUGUAUGAAUCAGAAUCGGAAUAAAUUUUACUCAAAUUAAUAUGUUUAUUUUCUCUUAAAAUUAUAAUGCACUAUUACAAGUUACUAAAAAAAUCAUUUGGUAAUUGUUGUCUCUACUACCACUACUACUACCACGACUACUACUACUACUACCACUACCACUACCACUACUACUACCACUACCACUACCACUACUACUACCACUACCACUACUACUACCACUACCACCACUACGACUACUACGACUACUACUACCACUACUACCACUACCACUACCACUACUACCACCACUACCACCACUACCACGACUACCACUACUACCACUACUACCACGACUACCACUACUACUACAGUCUCUCAUUUUCUAUUUCUAAUUUGAUGUGGGUCUUAUUAUUUGGAUUCUAAUUCUUAUAUUUAUUUGUGAGACAAAAUUAUGGUGCAACUGUAGUACCAUUGGAUCCAGCUACAGUUAUCAUCAUGACUUGAUAUAAUGAUUAAAAGUAAUUGUGGUAUAGUACCAUAGUUGCACCAUAACUGAACAUUUAUUUAUGAAGUAAAAUGAUGUUAAUAAUUUCGAUUUCCAAUUCGAGAAGUAAACACAUUAUAAUAUUUUUUUAGAUGCUUCUAUGCCAUAAUCUCAUUGGUCCAUUUUUCUUCACGCCUUAGAUUCAACUUCAAGAUUCAAGAUUCAAGAUUCAAUUUGAAGCAAACACAACUACAAAACAAAUAUAAUAAGCGUUAAUAAGCCUGUGGCUGACUGGCUGUGGCCAAGCAAAUGUACUACCUCAUAGUGAUUAGUGACCGUAUCAUAUCUUAUUAUCUUACGCCAGAAGCUAAACAAUGUUCCCAUUCCACGUGUCACUCUCUGACCAAUCCCCGAACUUUCUUCAUAUUUCCAAAGAAACCCUCACCAAGUCAGGAUAAUUACCUUCACUCUACUCAUAUAAAUACUGUCCUCCAUUCAACUGAUGUCUGAUAACGACAUAUCCUUAGUCUUUAUUUAAAAGGGGAAAUUAUAAAAAAUUCUCCUCGUUCCCUGACAAUCUAGGGUUUCUCAAGAAUCGCUAAACCUAGGUCCCAAUCCUUCAAAAUCUCAAUUUAACCUCUCUAGGGUUUCAAUUGUCGAGGAUUCGCUUCAAAAUUUAGUAUUUUUUAGGGGAUUUUGCUUGUCUCGUAUCCUUCAAUUGUUGUUCGGUUCUGAAAAUAAUUUGGAAUUUUAGGGAUUUUCAGAUUAUUUGGUUUUGCUUGAGCGCAAUUUCCUCUAGUUACGGUUUCAGUUUGAAGGGUUAAGUGCGAUUUCGAAUAUUUUUAUAAAACUAAAAUUAAAAUUCAUAAAACGAUUGGGCGUUUAAUAAUUAAUUGAUGGCUAGCGAUACUACAACGGCGGCCGCAGCUGCGGAAGAAGCAGAGGCGGUGGAGGAGUAUGAUAGCGAUCCAGAUGAAGUGAAACGCUCUCUUGCGAUGCGCAGAAGGGAAGCCAGCGAUGAGGAGGUUGAGGAGGAUAAAGAUUCAGAGCUUCCAAUAGUUCAAAGUGUCCACAUUCCUGCGGGAAGCCGAGGCUGUGGAUGAGUAUGAGAGCGAUCCAGAUGAAGUGAAACACUCUCUCAUUAUGCGCAGAAGGGAAACAAGCGAGGAUGAUGAGGAGGAGACAUAAUUUGAGCGUCGAAUGAAUUGAAGGGUCCAUAUUCACUCUUACAUUGAAUCUGAUGGCCAAGGUGGUGCUCCAGCUGAGUAUGAUGAUGAAGAAGAAGAAGAGGAACAUGACAGAGAAUUAGAAGAAGAAGAUGAAGAAGGGGAUGUUUAUGAGGCUGUAGAGGAAGAAGAAGUUUAUGAAGAAGAGGAGAGGAAUGAUGGGGCGGUUAAAGUCAAAGGAAUAGAGGGUAAUGAUGCAUGAGGAGUACGGAGGGUGCAGUGGAAGUGAGUAAAGGGAAUAAUGAUAAUCGCAAUGGUGCUAAAAGAAUGAUGCAGCAGAGGAGGGAAUGGAGGAAGAGAAGAAGGAGAGUAAUGAGCCUUUUGCACAGCAGCUGGGGCUUUUUAUAUGGGACAAUGUUGCAGGUCGACACAGGUAUUAUUUGAUUUGAGUGACAAUUUAUAAAUAGCUAAUAGCUAUGGGACAAUGUUGCAGGUCGACACAGGUAUUAUUUGAUUUGAGUGACAAUUUAUAAAUAGCUAAUAGCUGUACUUUCAUUAGGGCUUGUCAAUUAAUCCAGUCUCGAGUUUUGGUGCUGUAUAAUGAUUGUUUGCUGGAAUCUGUGUAGAAGGCUUUUGGCCUAGUAGGUUGAAAGGAGAGAAAGUUCUCAAAUAAACAUCUGUGCUUUGUGAAAUAUAAUUAAUAGGUACAAAGCAUACUAAAUUACUUGACAGAUAGAUGCCGAGCUAAUCAUGGGCUAUGAUAGCAUUAUCCGUGCUUUCUGUAUUUUUAAUAGGGCUUGUCUAUUUCAAAGUGUGUAGUGUAGAAUUUUUGGGUUUAGUUUGAGUGAUGAAGUGUUAGAUAGGUUUCUGUUUGGCAUAGUUAAGUGGUUAAUACGAGCUAUUGAAGCAAAUAUGGAGUAGGAUAUCUAGUUUUGGGUUUGGUCUUAGUUUGAAGAUGGCUACUGAUUAUGCAGCUAGGUACGUAUUAGUGUUUGUGGAUUGCUAAAUGCUUUCUGUCAAAUGUGAGUAGAUUAUUACUUGAAGUGCAUGGAUCUUACACUUAAUUAAUUAUAUAUCCAUUUGUAAUGUUCAAAAUGAUCAUGUACUAUUGCUUAAAAUUAUGUUUUCAAGCCAUGGUUGUAAUGUGUCUCUAAAUUCAGUAAUACAAGUUCUGUCAAUUGCUGUCGGAUGGCAGUGACUUGAAUAGUUUAAUGUUCAUUUGCAGACAAAAUUUGAGAAAGAAAACUAAAAAUUUCUGUGCGUUCUGCUGGAAAUUUAAUUAGCUUCAUUUGAGCAUUAAUUGCUGGCAUUAUCUCUUAGAUUUCUCUUGCAUUGAAUGAAUGGAUGAGUGCUAAUCCAUGCAAAGACUCCCAUGCAUACACAAUGAAUGCUUCAUCAAAGGUAUGGUAAAAUGUCAACACGCUUGGCCCAAAUUAUCAAGCUGGUGUGGUGGCUGCUAGAUUUGUUCAUCCGGAUUUUGGACCAUUUUCAUUGACAAUGAGAAAAGCUGCAAGAUCUGUAAAUCGGAAACUCAUUGAAGUGCCAAAAGAGAGAUGGAAGUGAAUAACAAGAGAGUUAGUGAAGAGAGGGUGCAGUGAUUGUGUGGGAAGCUUUGGGUUUACUUGGGGUUUGGAUGUGAGAUAAAAUAAUUUGAGAGAGAGGUUGUAACAAUUUUUCGGUAAUAGAGUUUUUCAGGUAACUCUUGUGUUGUGUGCUUAGAGUAUUCUCUAUUGUAUUUUUUUUUUGUUAUUUAUUUGACGUAUUGCUAGCGGAGAUCUUGGGUGGGAACCAAAAAUUCCCAACAAUUGUCAAUUGUUUUAAACUCUAUUUCGAACAGAGCAUGAAGGGAUUCACUUAUCUGAUUAUGUCUUUUAUGCUUUAACUUCACUUGAUUUCAUCUUGUCUGUCACCUUUAUUAAAGUUGUAUAUGUUGGAGUAUUAGGUUCAUCACAGGGAUCAUAUUAUGGCUAAGGAAGGGGCACAGUUUAUCAGCUGCACUCAAGUGUAGCAGAGUAUUUGGAUUCAAGACUGUUAGAAGGUUGUUACAAUGCAAGGCUGUUGCUGUGUAACUGUAUGCCAUUCUCGCAAGUGCACUCUUAACAGAUUGCUGAGCUGGCACCGGAUGUUUUUAGCUAAUAUUAGUUAUUGGUCUAGAGUGUUCUGAUUUAUUCUAUAAAUAGCUCAUUUGAGCUUAGAACCUUUAUAGUGUAUCAUACGUUUCUGUUUCUUCUAAUAACGAUUUUCUCUAUUCCUUUUUCUUUCACUUUCUCUUUCAUUUUCAUGAUCCCCAAACACCAUCAAUCCAUGAUUUUCUAGAGUAUUAGUUGUCUAUUUCUACAAACAUAGAAUUGUUGUUUUAAGAAACAAAGUACUCUGUCCUGUCACCCGCGGUCUUCUUGUUUAUCGACUUGUGAACAGGGCUAAAUAAACGGCAAAUAAGAUAUUGGGUCAAUGGGUCUAACAUGACAAGAUAUUGAAUUAUUGCCCUUUUCUUGUCUCCACAAAUUUUUGGUAAAUUUUUAGGUUCCCUCAACUUUUUUCCCCUUUAGCACUAAAAUUCAUUUUUGAUACUUUAUGCAAAAAUUAUGAUGAAAAUGAGUCACUUUAGAACAUCAAUAAAUUUUUAUUUUUACAUCCAAGAUGACGAUAGUUACACUUAGAUCACUCUCAUUUAGUUGAAUUAUAUAGGUAAUAAAGUUGGCUUAACAAAAUAUGAUUCUUAACUGUUGUAAUUAAGGGUUAGUAUUCUUUGGUUUUAGUUGUAGGGCUUAUAAUGCUGUGGCUCAGUUCUUGGUGGGUUCGAAUUAUUAGACGAUCAUUCUCAAUUCUUUACGAUUCAUAAUUAAAAAUUCCUAUAUCACAAUUAGAACUUACAAACAAGUCAAAGUGGGUUAAAUCUUAUGUAUAAAUUUGAGGUCUAUUACAAACUUUUAAAAAAGAUUUUUACCAUAUAAAAAAAUACUAUUCCAAAAAAAAUUGAAAAUCCAACCAAUUGAAUCGGUUCAGUGUCACUCAAAAUGUGUGUGUGUGUAAAACAACACAAUUAUCAUAUUAAUGAGGCACUGUUAAAUUCAUUCAAUGAAUAUUUUUCCUUUUCAUUUUCAAUGAAUGCUUAAAAUGACAAACAAUCGCUUGUUUUACAAUUCUUUUAUAUAUCUUUGAAACUUUCAGCUUCCCAACACAUCAUAUUGUUCUCAAUUCGUCUAAAUUAUUAUUAUUUUUUUUCAAACACUGCAGCAACAACCAGUAUAAAAUAGAAUAAACUCAUUUAAUGGAAAUUUUCCUAGAGGCUUUCAUGGCAGAAUCUCAUUGGUCUAUUUCUCUUCGCACCUUAGGUUCCUCUAACAAACCUACCUCUUAACUCUCAUGUCCGAAUUUAAACUUAAAAGAUGUUCCCCGUCCCACGUGUCCCCAAAUAUUUGUAUUUCCAAACAAACCCCUGCCAACUAAGUCAAGUGAUAGGAUGGCUUUUAUUACAAACUGUAUGAACGUUAUGGCCAUGGGACAUUGGAUAAAACUAAUGGAAUGUAAAGCAAAAUUACCGAUUAAACUAAAUUGAAAAUCCAACCAAUUGAAUCGGAUCAGUGUCACUCAAAAUAUGUGUGUGGUGGUGUGUGUAAAACAACACAAUUAUCAUAUUAAUGAGGCACUGUUAAAUUCAUUCAGCGAAUAUUUUUCUUUUUCAUUUUCAAUGAAUGCUUAAUAUGACAAACAAUCUGUCUCAUUGAGCACUGUUUAAGUCAUUCAAUGAAAAUGAAUACUUCUAUAACAAAACAAUAAUUCCCUUAUUUAUUUGACACGCAAAGAAUUUUCUUGCUCAGCUCGGCGGCCAAUCCUUUAAAAUUUGUUAAAAUUCAGUUAAUUGAUGAACGAGACAUAACCCAAUAAAUCGUUUAAUUUGUAUAAUUGAUAAAAAUUUAAACUUCAAACAAUAUAGAUAGAAUGAAUAAUGUUUUUCAAUAUUUAGAUAAUUUAUAUAUGUCAUGUUACUAUGAGUAAAAGAAUGAAGUGUAUGAUAGAAAACAUAAUGUUUAUGUUUGUAUUAAAAAUUCUAGGUGCAAAUCUAUUUAGUGUAGGUUAGACAUAAAAAUAGUUACCAAGUUGUCUUGUUUCUCAUUUUGUUUAAUUUUCCUAAUUUGAAUAACUAUUAAUUAUGAGUCAAGGGUUUAUUGUAAAAAUAUGGUCUUCCAUUUACUAUAAAAAGAUUAGCAUGAUUUAAUUAUUUUUCUUUUUGCUUGGUGUCUGUAAAAUUAUGAAUACUUUGGUAAAUAAGAUAAUUAUAAAUACCAUUUUGAAAACCCAUGGCCAUGGUUGUGAUGUAUCUUUAUCAAUCACGGAUACAAAAAUUAAUCAAAAUUAUCGAUUGAUUACUUUUUAUACUUUGACUUCACUUAAUACAGCUUCUUCCUCUUUUAACUGUAUGCCAUGCCGGCAAGUGUAUUGUACAGAUUACUGAGCUAGCACCGAUAACUAAGCUAAUUAUUAGGAAUCAAUCUAGAGCGUACCUGUAAAUACAAUAGGUUGCUUAGGUGGCACCAAUAUACUAACUUUAUGCCGUGUUUCUGGUGUGUCUUCACAAAUUCACCGAUAAAAAUUAAUUUCUACCAAUAUUACCAAAUGAUUGUAUUUUACGUUUCUAUUUACUUGUAAUAAAGAUCUUCCAUGUGUAUAUAAGUGUUGAUUUUAACUGAUAGCUGAUAGCUGUAUUUUCAUGGUCAUUCAAUUUUAUUGGGUACAAAAUUCUCUAGGAUUGCAUGUACAUUAUACUUUUAUAUACAUAUUUUCUUCUUUCUCAUUCGUUUUCUGGGUGAACAUAUUAUUUUCGUCAUCAUCUCUAUAACAAUCAAGUAAAAAUAGUCCUCAUUUAAAGUAUUGGCAGCAAUGUUAUACUCAAUAUAACGUAUAAAGCACGCAUAAUUUACUCAAUGGGGCAGCUGCUAGUACCUUCUUUAGAAGAGAAUUAUUGCAGCAAGUUAAUUGGAAGCUCAAAGAGUUUCCGUAUUAGCCGAAUCUAAGCGAUAAGUGUUUCCAUGUGAGCCAUAAUUUGGGAAAAAGACCAAUUCGAGUUAAAGAUCAGAAAACAAACAGUGUCAACAAGCAUUAAUGUCAUUUGAUGCAUGAAAGACAAUUAAUCCCAUUUUUUGUCCUGUUUACUUGGCUUGGGCAAUUUGCCGUCAACUUUUCUCAUCCACGUCAGGUAAUGUGGCUUUUAUUUGGUAUGAAAAAGGCAAUGCUUUACGAUAAAACUAUCACACACAUAUUAUCCAUCUGUAAUGUUCAAAUGACACUGAAGUAUUGCCUAAAUUAGCCUUUCAAAAAUUUAUUUUCAAAAACCCAUGGUUGUGAUGUGUCUCUAUAAAUUAAGAUCUAUCUAUUACCAACUGUUUUAAUUCUGUUCUGAACAGAGCUUGAAAGGGUACAUUCACUUAUCUAGUUAUGUUUUUUAAGUUUUCACUUUACUUGAUUCACCUUAUCCCUCUUUUUAAAAACAAUUGUUCACUGGCUGCACUCAGUUGACAGAAUAUUUUGGGAUUCAAGACUUGGUUGUUACGGAUGCAACUUGCAAGGCUGUUGCCAUGCUGGCAAGUGUGCUGCUGUAACUGAUUGUUGAGAUGGCACCAAAGAUUGUAAACUAAUUAGUACUGGAAAUUCAUGAGUUUGAUGAUGAAGAGGACGAAAAAUAUUAUUUUAUUAUUUAAAAAUAAGACUAUCAAUUAUUUCCAUGGUCAUCUUAUUUUUUUUUAUUAAUUGGCCUAAAUAUUGUAUUUUUUGUCAGGAGUCUUGCAAUGCUGCGUAGCACCGUAAGUAAGAAGAAACGUGUCUAAGGUUGCCACGUGUUGUCUCAACAUCUGUGUGAAAACCGAAUUAACCAGUUUGCGUUCGACAACAAAGGAAAAUGCUUCUUGUUGCUGACCGAUUGCUAAGUAUUUCAAUACCUCCACCAAAAUCUUUAUAACACCCUUUUUAAUUUUAUUUCUGAAGAGUAAUGAUAUAGUCAUAAAUUCUUGUACAAACUUAUUUUGUACAAACUGACGUGGCAUGAUAAGAUUGGCUGAAUUAAAUAUCACUUGGCCCACAUGAUUUGUUUUUAUUAUUUUAUAUUUUCAUUCAACCAAUGAAUUAAUGCCAUGUUAGUUUGUACAAAAUAAGUUUGUACAAGAGUUUGUGGCUGUAUCAUUACUCUUUUCUAAAAUACACUUAGUUUAAAAAAAAAAGAGCUUUAUGAGAAAUUUUCAGUGUGUCAAAAGGCCUACUUAAUGGACUGGAUCCCGACUCAUUAAUUUUAUAACCCGACUUACAAUCCGACUCAUUAUUCACAGAGAUUAAUUUUCUAUUGCUUAAGGCACAAUAUUUACUAAGCAAUUUAUCGGCAAUAAAACAUGUAUAUUAUAGUGGUUUGUAAUAAAAUUGGAAGAAGACAUCACGUACGAAUUGGAUUUAUCCCAUGAAAUUUGAUUAACGAAAGUGUAUGAAAAUCUAUAAAGAAAAUAGUAAAAACAAUUGUUGUGUAAAUGCUGUAUAGGUGAUAUAUUACUUUUAUAAUCCAUCAAGGUACAUUUGAUUUUAAUGAUGAAACAAAUACAAAUAAAUCCAUGUAUGUCAAUGCUAGAUGGUUCCAUAUUAAACUUGUGAAGUAUAGAAAAUAAGCGAGAUUCGUAAAAAAAUAUUUUAGAUAAUACCACUGAAAAGUUAUAAAAAUAUUUAAAAAAAAAAAGAAAUACAUACUUGAGACACCAAGACUGAUACGCACAAACUCACACAUUUACAUAUUAAUUGAGGGAAAAAAAUAAUAUUCUGAGUAAUAUUGUUGACAUAUGAUUAAAAUUCUUUUUAAUGAAACAUUUUCGUAUAAAUACUAGUGAUAUUUGUACAGAAAGUAGAAUGAAGUGAAAAAAAAAACUUGAAUAUAAAUGCUCCAAUAUAAUUUUUCCCAUGCCAAUUAUGAACUAGUGAACUUUAAAGCAUCAUAAAAUUGUUUCAACAUAAGUAAUUAGUUUGAAAAAUUGCCAAUGUGGGAACGAAAAGAUUAUAGUAUACGAGACACGAUAUUAUUUAAGACAACUUAUAAAUUAUGGGAAAUAUAUCGAUCUUACAAAUAAUAUUUAAUAAGUACAAAUUUCAAAUUAAAUAAUAAAUCCUUAAUUUCCCUUUAAUCAUAAUUAUGAUCUUAAUAAUUAAAGUCAUUCAAUCUUAAUCACUUUUUCAUUGUUUUAAACUAUCUAAAUGACAUCGAAAACUCUACUCAAUAUGGGAUUUUUAUUGAAUUAUUUAAUAAUAUACUACUAUCUAAUAAAUGAUUAAUUUCCUUUUAUUCGAAUUUAAUAAUAUACAUCAUUUGAGCGUCGAAUGAAUUGAAGGGUCCAGAUUCACUCUUACAUUGAAUCUGAUGGCCAAGGUGGUACUCCAGCUGAGUAUGAUGAUGAUGAAGAAGAAGAAGAGGAACAUGACAGAGAAUUAGAAGAAGAAGAUGAAGAAGGGGAUGUUUAUGAGGCUGUAGAGGAAGAAGAAGUUUUUGAAGAAGAGGAGAGGAAUGAUGGGGCGGUUAAAGUCAAAGGAAUAGAGGGUAAUGAUGCAUGAGGAGUAUGGAGGGUGCAGUGGAAGUGAGUAAAGGGAAUAAUGAUAAUGGCUAACGAAGGACCACAGCUCAUUGGCUGCACUCAUGUGUAGCAAAGUAUUUGGACUCAAGACUGUUAGAAGGUCGUUACAGACGCAAGACUGCUGCUGUGUAACGGUAUGCCAUGCUGGCAAGUGGGGCACCAAAUAUUGUGAGCCAGUAUUCGUAAUUAGUGUAGAGUGUUCUGAUUUAUUCUAUAAGUAGCUCAUUCGUGCUUAAAACCUACAUGUAUUGUACGUUUCUAUCGGUAAUUUGAUUACCUUUCCGUACUUUAUCAAUCAUUGAAUGAUUUUACUGGUUUAAUUGCUUGAUUGUUUGAGUAUAAUCGGUAAUUUGAUCGUCUGUCAGCAAGUGAUUUACAAUUCACUCUCCAAUUUUCAUUAAUUUAGUGUAGCAAAGCUUUAACUAGAUAGGUAGAUAACGUGGACAUGAAAACUUGAUUAAGAGUUUAGAGCAAUCAAAUCUACUUUAAUGAUUAUUUAAUGCACGGAGAUUUAACAUCAAUUAUCAUCACGUUAUUCUAACAACGAGAUUGCAGAACUUGGAUCUUUACUCGAACAAUUUCAAUUCCUGUAUGAUCAUUUCCCCAACUAUUAUUUGAAUAAUUAUUUAAUGCCGUUCAUUCCAGCUCUGUUUGGCUGUUAACUUUAUUUAGUUAUUUAUGAGGAGAUUCAUUUCUCACCUGAAGCUAGAAAUUUACGAAUCAAUGACUUUUUAUUUUUUCUUUUAUAUGAUAGCUUGCAAUCCCUGGUGUGUGUUGAUAGUGCCUUACAUGAAUACAAAAAUGAACAUUUUUUUUUUUUUUUUUUUUUUGGGGCCAAUUGCAGUUUUGAUAACAACUAAAAUCUGUGUGGUCCGGUUGCUACAAAGCCUUGCCCCAGAUCCCUGCCAUUUUCUCCUCCACCUCCAUUUGGGGAAAUUACUACUUACUUUUUGCCAAUUUUUCUUGAAAUAUUUAUUUUAAGAAGAAAACCAACAAUACAUUUUAUGAUUUGGGCUGUUUCAAAGAUCUUCGCUUGAUGUCUCUGCUACUGGCUUUCAGCAGAGUGCCAAAAAUAAUCAGUGCACGCACUAUAGGCUCUAUUAUUAUCAGUAAAAGGCAUUAAUGAUAUAUUGGGAUCGACUUUUUUAUUUGGGAGUGGAAGGAUGCUUGAAAGAGUAGAGUGGUGCAUCUUGUUCAAACAUGCACCGUAGAGCCAAUUCCAUUUUAUGAAAUAGAAGUUAGACUGAACAACGUUAUGUCUUCGUUAUCAUUUCAGAAGGAAACAAAUCAAACAAUGCCGAAAUUGAGUGCCCACACAUUUUCAUGCCCAAAUUGAGUGCUGGAAUGGUGGUCAAAUCUCGAACGAAGACAGAUCUAUCAAACUCCAAAUCUCGAACAAGUAAUUGAAAUCUGAAGUUUACGAGCAAACAAACUGAAAUCUGAAGUUUACUGAAGUUAAGGGACGAGCGCAAAACAGAAACUCUGUCCACUACUGAUGAUAUAACAACGAACCUUUGUAUUUUUUUUAAAAAAUAAUAAUAAUAAUACAACUAAACUUUGUUUUUUUUUUUUUUUUUAAAAACAGUAACAAAAUAUCAUUAGACAAAUGAAAAUAUUUUUUCAUGUCGUUCAGAUAACUGAUUGAUAAAGUAUCAUUAGACAAAUGAACCUUUGUUACCUAAUUCAGACUUGUUUUCUUUGAACCAGCGCCUGAUUCACAAGAAUCCAGUAAUUUGGCUUUUGAUCAACUGAUUGAUAAAUGUUCAAUUUCUUUGGUGAUAAAUGUGUAUGUGAAGCAGGCGAUGGCGAUGCAAGUUUCGUCUUACUAUACAAAGUCUUUUUAAUCUCAUGUCAAUCUCAUGUAUUAAUUGUAACCCUUCCGUUACUGCAAUCUGCAAAUGUGUCAAAAUCGGUUAGCACGAAUUAUGGCAGAUUGUUGAAGAUAAAUAUUCCACAGAAUCAUCAUUCUUUGCUCCACAAACUUUUAACUUUUUAAAACAUUGAGUUUGUAGUUAAAUGUCAUAAUGAUGCUUUACGAAAUUACGAUUAUGUUUACUGCUUGCACCUUUUUGAUGAAUUUGAUUAUGAUGGCAUUUCUAAUCAUAAAUUAUGUUAUUAUUGUAUGAAUUUAUUAUUCUGAUGUUAUUUAUAGACGAAUGUCAAUAAAUAUUAACAUAUUUUUGGGGUUCUCUUUUUUGUAUUUAAAAAAAUGAAGUAUGUUGUUUGACAACAUUUUGGACCAAAUCAAAUUAAGGAGUCUUUAAGAGUUAUUAAACGUGGGUAUAAUAUGCGCAAGUUGGAGUGCAAGGGGGGCGCCAUUGGGAGCUCUCACACACGACUGUGGAAAAGAGAAGAUUUUAGUGAAAGGCGAGACUCAGAUAAUUCUACGCGUUUUGGCUGAUUUAUAUAAUUCGUGAAAUUUUAUUUCCAUCUGUUACAAGAUCAAACUGAAGCAUAACUCAGAAAAAUAUUCUAUUUCUUGCGGCAAUCUUGCCUUCAUUCAGACUAUGAACCAUUUCCUUUCACCAAGUUCUUCCUAAACAUUGAAUAAGUUUCAUGGUUGGACAUAGUUAGCUUCUGUAUCUUUUGGUGCAUUUAGGUGCUAUCAAGUGACAGCCGUAAGUAUGAUUGCAUUAUUGGGAAAUUUUACGAUUUGAUGGUUCCCCACGUUAUUGCCAAGAAAGAUGUCAGAAGCUGCGGUUCUUUUCAUCAGCCUGAACCCGAACCUGUCCCUAUGGAUAAUUCAGGUUUUUGUCAUCAACUAUAUCAUCUUUUUCACUGUUUUGAAACUCUUAAUAUUAAACUUCAGUAAACUUCAGAUUUCAGUUUGUUUGCUCGAAACUUGUAUGGUGACAAGGAUACUGGCAAGGAUAAUGAGAUAGUUUUUUGUGUGAGUGAAUUUUGAGAGCUCGAGUGUUCUGGGAUUUGCAAUUGCAAUCAUCCUCUGUUUCAGGUGAUUUCUUCUCCUGCUCUGUCUUUAUUUGCUCUCUAAUUGAAAAGCAUAAAGUAUUUCAAUCAAAUUCUGUACCAGGAAUACUUUAAAGUUACUGAUACUUUAUUUCCAUCUGUUUGCAUUGAUAACUUGGCGGCAUAUGUACUAGUUAAAAAACAAACAGAAGUAGAGAAGUAGAGUUCAGGAAAAAGCUUCUUCGGCCACCAUAUUUGAAAAUGAAACCAUUUCCUGGAAGCAGUUGGCAGCAAAUUCAUAUAAAGUGUAGACAAUGAUUAGCAGAAAGGUGAUUCACAAUUUCAUUUUUUUAAAAUGAAAUUAUUUGUUAAGUUGGAGCUGAUACUGUUAGAAGGCCAAUGAGCUAACCUAUGACACUGCUUGCCUAGUUUGCAGGAGGUCAAGGCUCAAAAGAAGCACUGAAUUUUAAAAGUCAUGCAAUAAUUCUUAGGGCCAUAUGUCAAUUCAUGUAAGUUUGAAUAAGUUUAAUGGUGGAACGCUUUUAGCUCCUUUUCCUUUCGUGCAUUUUGGGGUGCUAUCAAGUGACCGCCGUAUGUAUGGCUGCAUAUAGCUGCUGCUGGGAAAUUUGAGGAUUUGAUGGCUGCCCGUAUUAUUGUCUUAAAUUAGAUGUGAUAAGCUGUUGCUUAGAGAUUCUGUUGCCAAGACUUUGCUCACAUCAGAAGCUGUGGAACCUGAACCCUUCUCUAGAUAUCAUCUUUUUCAUUGUUUUAAAACUCUCAGGAUUAAACUUAAGUAAAUUUGUUCGGUUGUCUAUAUAAUCAGGUCAAGUAUACUGGGCAGGCAAAUGUCAGAACUCGGUUUAUUCGACAAAAACUUGUUUAAGAUUCUUGGCAAAGCUGCAUGGAGUGAAUUUUGGGAGCUUGAGAGUGAAAGAAGUUAGAGAAUGUAUUAGGAUUUGGGUUUAUUAGGAAGUUAUGUAUUUCAUUAUCAGUUUUUUUUUUCUUUUGUAAAAAGUAAGGAUGGGCCAAAUCCAAGUAGCUUUUAUUUUCCUCUUUUCUCCCUUAAGGCUCGAACCUCCUUUAUUAGAAAAAGUCUUAAGUGUUCUUACUCAAUGGUAGAAUCAUAAUUUUACUUCAAUGGAAGCCAUACUAAUUAGAGUAUACUCUUUUGAUUAAUUACUUAUUUGAUGUUGCUCUCUCUACCUUCAUCUCCUUCUUUAUGAAAAAUUUAUUGUAAUACAUGGAAGUAAAUAUUGUAUUGAAUAAAAUGAAAUUGUUCAAAAAUUAACAAAUUCAGCUUUAUUAUAAUCUAAAACAAAGUAAAUAAAAUAAUACCCAUCAAGUAAAAAUAAAAAAAUAAAAAAUUUUGUACCACUUUGAAUCUAUUUUAAAUUUUUUGGUAAAUCUCAAAAGCACAAACUUUGAACAAUAAUAAUAGGUAAAAACUAAUAAUCUUAUAAUAAAAAGUAAGAAAAAAAUAAAGUUGAUUUAGCAUGUAAGAAUAAAAAAAGAAGAAUAGAAAGAGAGAGAAAUUAGUUUAGGCUUUAACUAUUGUUAUAGUAGAGAAGUAAUUUUAUGACUUUUUAGAAAUGAGUGAAUUAAAAUAGUAAGUUAUAAUUUGAUAACUAUCUUAAUUAAAAAAGUGGGUGUUGAAAUAAAAUUAAUGGAUUCAAAUAGCCCACCCAAAAUCCAAAAUUGCAUGCCAAUUAUUUUCUAAUUUACAUAAAGUUCUUCAAUUUUUUUUAUAACAUUUGUUUCUCAAUUGGUCUAAUGGAGAAACAACCAGCAAAAAAAUAAAAUGAAUGCAAUUACAUGGAAAUUUGAAAAGAGCAGUAGAUGACAUUUAUGUGCAAGCAAAAUGCAAAAUUGCAUUCUGUUUGUGGGAUCCUGGAAAAAAUAAAAGAAAGAAAACAGAGUAAGACGCUGAGACCGGGGGCUUGCUUCCAUGGCAGAUUCUCGUUGGUUCAUUUUUCUUUACGCCUUAGAUUCUAAUCAUUCUAUGAUUCAAUUUCAAUAAAAUACGACAAACAAAAGAAGCUUUUAAGCCUGCAGCUGAAAUAGAUGGCACUUUAAUUUUCAGCUGAGAAUCAAAUGAAAUAGAUGGUAAGAUUAUCAUUAUUGAGCUUGAUAACUGAUAAGGCUAUAGAAAAUUCAAUAUCCAGAUCGGACAAGGAUCCAAUAAAUUAUAAAAUAUUGCGGCUCAAACCCCAUAUGAUCAUGGGCCACCGCUUGCUCAUGCUUUGAAUCAAAAUUUUCUAAUGAAGUGAGGUUGGAAGCUAAAAGGGGCAAGUAAUGAAAUGGGGUUCAUCAUAUAUUGAGCCCAAUGGGACAAGAUCAUCAUUUAAUUCCCUCCUCUUGUCGAUAGAUAUUUGCCGAAUUCUUUCAUUUAAAAAAUAUUAUAUUGGUUAAUAGAAUUUGAAGUUUUACAAAAUAUAAGUUUAAUUUUAAAAAAUUAUAUUUUUUAAUUUAAAAUUUUCAUUUGGUGGUUAUGUUUGAAAAAAAGUUUAGGUAUACUCGGACAUACUCUCUUAUUAUUCAUUGAAUUUGGGCAUUUAAACAUAUUAGUAUGCAGUAUUUCUAGGUAAUUAGCUGAGAAGUAUAGGUGACAAAAAUAUAACAUGUGAAACAAUACACAAUGAAAUUAUCUACAAUUUUCCAUUGACUUAGGUGGCGUUUGUUUUUUUGUUUGAAAUCUGAAUAGAUCUGAAUUAGUCUGAAUUCUGAAUAGGUCUGAAUGUCUGAAUCUGAAUAUUACGUUUGUUUUUUCGUCUGAAUCUCGGAAAAUAAGUAUUAAGUUGUUUGUUUUUUUCAACUUAAAAAGUUGAAAAUAUGUACUUUUACAUUUGUAUCCUUAUUAAAUUUAAAUGUCAAAUAAAUAAUAUAUUAAAUACCAUAAUAUUUUAACAUUUAUAAGUAAAACUAUAUUCAAGUUAAUACAUAAUUAUUUUAGAAUUUUAAUAUAUAAAAUAUCAUAAAUUUCAAAUUUUAUCAUAUAUAAUAUAAAAAAGAAAAAAUAUGGAUAUUUUUAUGUGGGGUAAAUAUCUAUAGGUGAGUUUUGGGAUAGACAUGAAAAAUAAAUUAUAAAACAGGGAUAUUUUUUACAUUAGCAAGUAAUUGACUUAAUUCAGAUUUCUCCAUUAAGUAAAAAGAUAAAAAAAUUAGCUUAUUUUAUUAAGUCAAAAUUAUCUAAAAAGUCUUAUUAAGUUAUAAAAACAAACACAUCUAAUUAACUUAAUUAAUUAAGUUAAGUCACUUUAAGUCAUUAAGUUAAAAAACAAACGCCACCUUAGUCAACUCUUCAUUGAUUUCAUUGACUUGAUCAACUCAUGAUCUAACUUGACAACUUAAAAAUUAAAUUAUGCUAGUAAUUCCGUAAAAUUAAAAUUUAUCUCUCAAAAUUGAUAAAUACUGUGUCACUUUGUCAAAUUACUUAGGGUAAAAGCUCUGUGGCUAAAAACUUUUAAGAUUAGAUGUAUGCUAAUUGAGAAGGACAAGACACAAAACACAAAAGAAUCAAUGAAUGCCACAUCAUGUAACACUAACACUACUUACUCUUAACAAAUUCUUACAAACGUGAUUCAUGAAAUUAACUUGACUUUUUGUCUAAAAAAGGCCUAAAGAAACAUGCCAAGCAACAAAUAAAGUAGUCCAAACGUGAUUCAUGAAACUUGAUAGGCGCUAUCUAAAUAGUAUUAAUAUGGCAACCGAAAACAUGCGCGCAAAGUAGACUUUCUUGGACAAUCCAUGCCAAUCAGCAAAUAAAGUAGUCCAAACGUGAUUCGUGAAACUUGACUUCUUGUCUAAAAAGGCCUAAGGAAACAAGACCAAAAGUUCCAUGCAAUAGCAAUAUGGUGGCCACAAUGCACUUUUUAAGCCAUUUUUCAAAACUAAGUUUCUUCGUUUCACAUGCACUAUUCAAGCAAUUUAACAUUUUCUCCUUCCCCUGAAAGCUAUUGGAGAAAAAUUAGUUUCUUAAAUUUUAAUAAAAACUUUUAGAACCGAUCUCAUACAAUAGAUAAGAAUUCGUAAUCUAAAAAUCGUACCUUGAAAAUAUGAGAAGAUGUACAAUCUUUGUUUUUUUUCCUCUGAACUGAUUUAGGCUCCCAGAUCACGAUUUGUCAUCACCACACCUGUUAGAUCACGAUCCGUCACCACCACGCCUGUUAGAUCACGAUCCGUCACCACCACGCCUAUUAGAUCAUGAUCUGUUACCACCAUACUUGUUAAAUCACGAUCUGUCACCAAAGAUCUUCCAAGUUAUGACUCAGAUUUGAUCUGCACUUGAUGUGUGGGCACCUUUAUCACUACUAAAGCAACUAGCAAGAGAAAAUUUUUCUCUUAAAAUUAAAGAGAAAAAUUCUUUUUCUCUGAAUUAUAUAAUACGACUCUAUCUUUUUUCUUUAAAGAAAAUAAAUCUUUUUAUAUCUCCCUUCAAUGAAAACGCUCCAAAUAAUAAAAACCAAUCCUUGAUUUUCUAGAGUACAGCUAUGCAGUUCUACAAACACGAAACUGCUGUUGGUCCAAUUACUUUCAAGAAACAACGUACUCUGUGGUUUAUUGACUUGUGACAUGGGCAAAUUAGUCACGGUCCGAUUCUCUCCUCUUCCACUGACUCUGUCAAUUCAUGACUUUGGCACACAGUAGAAGCCAGCUGCCUGCUCCAUUUGACGUGCAAAGAACUUUCUUGAGUCGGGAUAAAAUCGAUUAAUUAUUUUGUUUGGUGAUGAUGAGUUAGUUGUCAAUUCAUGAGUUUGAUGCAGUGAAACACUUAACGCUCUCUUGUGAUGAGUAGGAGAAAAGCCAGCGAUGAUGAAGAGGACUAAAAACAUUAUUUUGUUAUUUACAAUAAGGCUAUCAAUUAUAUAUUCCAAAAUAAUUGGGUUUGGAUGGUCAUUUUGUUUUCUAAAAUAUCCAAAUGGAAACAGAAUUUAUAAAGUGGGAAAAUCAAGAAAUUAAAUACUCUUCAUAUAGUGGAAGGAGAUUUGGUUGCCGUUAUACUAAAUAAAAGAAAAAUAAAGUAAAAUUACAAUACUUUAAUAAUCUCAUUCCCAAUCGUACCGGAAAUAAAAUUUUCUGUAUAUUUAUGAAAUAAUUACUGAUUGGUGCAAGAGAUUGGUGGGACUCAUUUGAUUCAAGAAAAACAAUCAGUCUCAUUUGGUACGCAAAGAGCUUUUCUACUCUGUAGCCAAUAUUUUGAUGAAUGUGACGUUACUGGUUUGUAUAAUUUUUUGGAUAUUAUCUCAAUUUUACUUCUGUAGGUUUGUGGUUUGUAUAUUAUCUCAAUUUUUUAAAAAAUGUAAUUGCAAUUAUCAAACACGACUAAUCCCAACAAUUUAUCCAAAAUUUUUUAUUUAAAGAAAUGUAGCAUUUAUGAUAGAAUGGCUAAUUUUUUCAAUCAACUUUCUGGAAAAUGAUAAUUUUUUGAUAGAAAUGUUACUUACUUAUUACAGGAAGAAAAUUAUAGAAUAAUUUUUUGAAUUAAUAGUAUUACUUUACGAUAACACUAUCACAAUCUUAAAAAAAAAAAAAGUUAUUCUUUAAAUUUCGCAUUACUAUUCCUACUUUUCUUGUUAUACUACUUAAUGGCACUAGUGAAUCCUCGAAUUAUCAAACAAAAGGCAAAAAUAGUUCAAUAUCUGCUGUCCCAUUGAGCAUUGUUAAAUUCAUACGAUAAAAUGAGUACUUAUAUUAAAAAAACAAUCGGUCUCAUUACGUGCUCUUUCACUGACAUAGGCAAGUUGCGGCCAACUUGUGGCACUUCUAUGAAUUUUCAAGACUGGUGAAUUUUUCAAAUUUCAAAGAAAAAUAUACAGAAAUGUAAUUUCAAUUUAUCCAAAAAUUUGAGUUUCAUGGAAUAUAGCAUUUAUUAUAUGUCAUGUUAAUAUAGAGAAGAAAAUUUUAAAAACUUCUUUUUGGAUGAAUAAAAGUAUUUUCUGAUAAAUAUUUCACAAUCAUAUUUAAAAAUUUUCACUCCUCUUGGUACAUAAUUUAAGAAUUUAACAUUAUAAAUUAAUCUUUUUAAUCAAAGUAAUAAUCUCUCCUCGGGUCUGCAAAUGCUAAAAUUUAAUAUUAUAUCCGUUGACGAUAUUUGCUCCAAAUUCAUGAAAAUAAAAUUUCGAACAGAAUUAUGAAAUUCGUUACUAGAAAUUUGUAUAAAAGUUGUGAGAAUAGAAGGUUUGAUCAUAGGAAAUUAAUAUAUCCCUAUCCGAUGCAAAAAUGAUUGUAAAGAAAAACAAAAGUCACGGGCUUAUUUAGAAGAAAAGAAAAAAUUACAUUCCAUUUUCUAGUUAUUAAAAUAACUAGAAAAUAGAACCGCGCUUCACGCGAUUUUUAAAAAAAAUUAGUAUUAUCUUUUUUUCUUAUUUUACACUUAAUAAAACUGAUAAAAAAUAUGAAUUAGUUUUUUUUAAGAUGAGGCAGCCUUAUAAAAAAUAAAAAAUAAAAAAUUUAUUAGCCAGCAAUACAAAUAAAGAAGCAAUGCAAGAUAAAAAAUAAAAUAAGAUAAUAUAUUAUAGAGUGAUUUUAUUCAUUCUAAUUGUGUGUGUACAAAACAAAAAGAUGAACUUUCCUUUUAUAGUUACAUAAUCACUCCAUGAAAUUAAUGAAAAAUUAUGGAUCAUAAUUUCUUGUGAGAUAGUGAGAGUUAUAGGGAAGCUAAAGGUUGCUAAUGGGAGAUAGUGGGGAGACUAAGAACUAUAUGUUAUGAACAUCUACAUUUAUUUUAAUAAAUUCAUAGCACUCCCUCUUGAAUGUUCAUUACAAAGAAUAUGACUCAUUAAAUUAUUUAUAUAAUUGUUAUUGCGUAAUAACAAUCAAAUUAAUUAUGAGAGGAUGAAAAGCCAAAUUUAAAAGAAAAUUUUCUAUUUAUUAGAUAAUAGAGAAUAUAUAAAGAUGACAAACGGUGAUGCAACAUCACCUCCUCAAGUCUCAACUUUAUAUAUAUAUAUAUAUAUAUAUAUAUAUAUAUAUAUAUAGAUUAAUUCAUGUAUUUUAUGCCACUAAAGUUUAAUUGCUAGCAUAAUAAAAUAAAUAAAUGUUUCAAAAGACUUAUAAUUAAUAUUAUUAAUGAUUACAUAUUGUUGAAUUUAAAUAGAAAGAGAAAAAAAUUACAAAGAAUAUCCACCAAUAUUUUAGAUAUUUUAGAUAAUAGAAAAUAUAAAAAGAUGAGGAAUGAUAUAUAUUAAUAAAGUUACUAUUUAUUAAAUGAGUUAAAUACAAUCAAAUUAAUUAUGAGAAGAUGAAAGGUCAAAUCUAAAAAAAAAUCUCUAUUUAUUAGAUAAUAGAGAAUAUACAAAGAAGCAAAAUGGUGAUGCCGCAUCACCUCCUCAAGUCCUAACUUUAUAUAGAUACUAGGAAAUAGAACCGCACUUUGUGCGGUUUUAAAAAAAGAAUUUAAUAUUAUCUUUUUUUAUUACUUUGCAUUCGAUGAAACUGAUAAAAAAUAUAAAUUUUUUUUUUUAAGAUGACGCAGCCUUAGAAAACUAAUGUUAUUUAUGAAAGUUUAUUAUUUUUUUGUUAACAUUAAAAAAAUAUAUUAAUGUGUAUAGUUAAGUGUACACAACUUUUUCAUCAAUAACAAUCAUGUUCAUACUAAUCAACUCUUUAUUUUUCUUGGUAUUAACAGACUCCCACAUCUUACAAAGCCUAACCCUUAUCAUCCAACAAUGUUUAUCAUUGUUUAACUCAUGAAGAAAAGAGUACUCAAUGAAGCACACAAUACUAAAAAUUUAAAUAAGUCAAAAAAUAAAAACACAAUAACAUUUUUAAAGAGGAUGUUCGUUAAAUAAUAAAAAAAAAAACUUAAACAUAACAAAUCUUAAAUGCUUAAUAUUUAUAGAGUUUGAAGAAGCCAAAAGACACUAAAUAAAAAGUUGCAUAAUUAAAUAUAGGAUUAUGACAUUAAAAUUAGGUCCUAAUGGCAUUGGUGAGGGAAGAUGAAGGAACCUUCCUUCCUAUAUUAAUUAGUUGAUGUAUUUUAAACCACUAAAAUUUAGUUGUUGGCUUAAUAAAAUAAAUGAAUGUUUCAAAACUUAUAAUUAAUUUAUUAUUAAUGGUUACAUAUUGUUGAAUUUAAAUAGAAAGAGGAAGAGACAUGUAAUCUUUUGUAAUCUAUUAAUUAUUUUCUAUUUUUAAUAUUUUGUCAUGUAAUUAUUUUUUAAUCUCAACCAAUAUAUUAGAUAAUAGAGAAUAAAAAAAGAUGAGAAAUAAUGAUGCCACAAAUCUUAACUAUUUAAUAUUUAUAGAGUUUGAAAAAGCCAAAAGGCACUAAACAAAAGAUUGAAUAAUUAAAUAUGAGAUUAUGACAUUAAAAUUAGGCUCUAAUGGCAUUGUUGAGGGAAGAUGAAGGAACCUUCCUUCCUAUUAAUUAAUUGAUAUAUUUAAGCCACUAAAGUUUAAUUGUUGGCAUAAUAAAAUAAAUAAAUGUUUCAAGAUUUAUAAUUAAUUAUUAUUAAUGGUUACAUAUUAUUGAAUUUAAAUAGAAAGAUGAAGAGACAUGUAAUCUUUUAUAAUCUAAUAAUUAUUUUUUAUUUUUAAUAUUUUGUAAUGUUUUAAUAUCAACCAAUUUAUUAGAUAAUAGAGAAUACAAGAAGAUGAGAAAUAAUGAUGCAAUAUCACCUCCUCUAGUCCUAACUUUAUAUAUAUAUAUAUACAUAGAUGAAUAUAGAUUUUUAAUAUUUUGUAAUGUAAUUAUUUUUUAAUCUCACCAAUAUAUUAGAUAAUAGAGAAUAAAAAAAAGAUGAGAAAUAAUGAUGCCACAAAUCUUAAAUAUUUAAUGUUUAUGGAGUUUGAAGAAGCCAAAAGGUACUAAACAAAAGAUUGAAUAAUUAAAUAUGGGAUUAUUUUAUUAAAAUUAGGCUCUAAUGGCAUUGUUGAGGGAAGAUGAAGGAACAUUCCUUCCUAUAUUAAUUAAUUGAUGUAUUUUAAGCCACUAAAAUUUAAUUGUUUGCAUAAUAAAAUAAAUGAAUGUUUCAAGACUUAUAAUUAAUUAUUAUUAAUGGUUACAAAUUGUUGAAUUUAAAUAGAAAGAGGAAAAGACAUGUAAUCAUUUAUAAUCUAAUAAUUAUUUUCUAUUUUAAUAUUUUAUAAUGUAAUUAUUUUUUAAUUUCAACCAAUUUAUUAGAUAAUUAUAUAUUAACUGAUAUCUUUAUUAUUAAUAUAUUUUUUAUCUUUAUUUUUUUGAGUGUCAUAAUAUGAUAUAUGUACAAAGAAUAUCCACCAAUAUUUUAGAUAUUUUAAAUAAUAGAGAAUAUAAAAAGAUGAGGUUGAAAGAAGAUGAAAGAACCUCUCUUCCUAUGUUAAUUAGGUGAUGUAUUUUAAGGCACUAAAGUUUAAUUGAUAGCAUAAUAAAUUUUGAAGAAGCCAAAAGACACUCAACAAAAAGUUGUAUAAUUAAAUAUGAGAUUAUGACAUUAAAAUUAGGCCUUAGUGGCAUUGUUGAGGGAAAAUGAAAGAACCUCUUUUCCUAUAUUAAUUAAUUCAUAUAUUUUAAGCCACUAAAGUUUAAUUGCUAGCAUAAUAAAAUAAAUAAAUGUUUCAAAAGACUUAUGAUUCAUUAUUAUUAAUGAUUACAUAUUGUUGAAUUUAAAUAGAAAGAGAAAAAAAAGUACAAAGAAUAUCUACCAAUAUUUUAGAUAUUUUAGAUAAUAGAAAAUAUAAAAAGAUGAUGAAUGAUAUAUAUUAAUAGAGUUACUAUUUAUUAAAUGAGUUAAAUAUAAUCAAAUUAAUUAUGAGAAGAUAAAAAGUCAAAUUUAAAAAAAUCUCUAUUUAUUAGAUAAUAGAGAAUAUACAAAGAAGUGAAAUGGUGAUGCCACAUCACCUCCUCAAGUCCCAACUUUAUAUAUAUAUAUAGAUAGAUAUAUAGAUAUAGAUAUAGAUAUAGAUAUAGAUAGAUAGAUAGAUUAAUGAUUACAUAUUGUUGAAUUUAAAUAGAAAGAGAAAAAAAAGUACAAAGAAUAUCCACCAAUAUUUUAGAUAUGUUAGAUAAUAGAAAAUAUAAAAAGAUGAGAAAUGAUAUAUAUUAAUAAAGUUACUAUUUAUUAAAUGAGUUAAAUACAAUCAAAUUAAUUAUGAGAAGAUGAAAGGUCAAAUCUAAAAAAAAAUCUCUAUUUAUUAGAUAAUAGAGAAUAUACAAAGAAGCAAAAUGGUGAUGCCGCAUCACCUCCUCAAGUCCUAGCUUUAUAUAUAUAUAUAGAUAUAGAUUCUAAAAUCGCUAGGAUCACAAAGGAUAGCCUUUGGUUGACUGAGGUCAGCCUUAACGCAUGCCGGUCUUUUUCUCCUCUACAUUCUUAGAAAUUUUGGUUUCACUAUAAAUACUCGGUAUAUAGCAAACUUAAGUGUUCUUGCAUUACCAAUCCAACUAAGCACACGCUUACAAUAUAAAUACUCUCAUCUCAUGGAAAGAGUUCAUUCUCUCAGGAUGAUGAGCAGAUUUCUCUUACUCCAUUGUUUGAUUAUUAUUUUCUUAUUUAUCUCGGCAGCAGCAGCCAACACAAGUUCUACUAUCACAGACCGAGAAGCUCUGUUAGCCCUGAAAGCUCACAUAACUCAUGAUCCGACCAAUUUCUUGGCUAAGAAUUGGAACACAAGUACUCCUGUCUGUAAUUGGACAGGUGUCACUUGUGAUGUCCAUAGCCAUAGAGUCACAGUCUUGAAUAUUUCAAGCUUAAAUCUCACAGGCACCAUCCCUUCUCAACUUGGGAAUCUUUCUUCUCUGCAAUCACUCAAUCUCAGUUUUAAUCGACUUUCUGGUUCCAUUCCCUCCGCCAUCUUCACCAUGUAUACACUGAAAAAUGUUACCUUCCGUGAAAAUCAGCUCUCUGGACAAAUUCCUGCAAAUAUUUGCAGUAGUCUUCCUUUUCUUGAAUUUCUUUCUUUGUCCCAAAACAUGUUCCAUGGCGGAAUACCGUCCACUCUAUCAAAUUGCACAUAUUUAAGAAUCUUAAGUUUGUCAUACAAUGAUUUCUCGGGAGCCGUACCUAGAGAAAUCGGUAAUUCGACCAAACUUAAGAUAUUAUACCUUGGUCGUAACAGACUCCAAGGUGCGCAUGAUCACGAAGUUUAAUUAUGAAAAUUGUUGCAUAAGUUGUGGUAUGAAUAAUGUUCCAUAAUACAGUUUACACACGUUGAUUAAUUUGCAGGAGAAAUUCCUCGAGAGUUUUGCAAUCUUACGGAAUUGGAGCAUAUGUCGUUGGCAGGCAACAAUCUCCAAGGCAUGAUUUUUAACUUUUUGCUAUUUUAUUUUAGCUAUGCUUGCUUCUGUAUUCAUUCGCUUGUUCUUUGAUUAUGCAAUGAUUUAUUGUUUUUCUUUCAGAUAGAGAUAAAGCUCCAUGUCUCCCCUCACUCAUUUCAUUCUUUAAAUUAUGCAGAUUAAAAAAAAAGAAUGUUCUGUAAUUUUCUUUUGUCAUAUUACCACUUCCAUUUUGAAGCUUCCAAUUAAGUCGAUGAAAAUAAAUGAUGUUUCAUUCUUAUUCUUGUCAGCCUAAUUCUUAUAUAAUUGAAGAGUAAAUUGUUAUUACGAUAUUCGUCGGCCAAUAAAUUCUUCUUUUUUUCCCCCAAAUAUGAGUGAUCAAAUUGUUUGCGCAUAUAUAAAUGUACUUAAUUUGCAGGAGGUAUUCCACAGGAAUUGGGGAAUCUUGCAAAAUUGGAGAUGUUACAGCUGUUCCAGAAUAACUUGACUGGUAACUUUCUUUACGAUAAAUAUAUGAGACAUCUUCCGCUUCUUAAUUAAUAGAUGUCUUAAUUAAAAGAUUUCAAGUCUCUCAUUAUAAAUUCUCAUAUGAGGAUGUGUAGUUACCACUAUCUAACGUUAUUCCUUUUUUAUUAGAAAUUAGUUUGUGUUAAUUCAAAAUUCUGUAGCAUUUAAAAAAAAUUAAGAACACGUGGAAUAAAUCAUCAAUCUUUCUACUUUACUGAAUUUGGAUUUCUCAAAAAUUAUCUUGACAAAUUUGCUUCACUAAUGAUAUGCAUGUGUGACAACUUCAUAAAAUAUUUUACUUGGAAUCACCAAUUAUCUUUAAAUAAUUGGAGAUGCCAUCAGCGAGACAUAAUUUCUUAACAAGCACCAUACCAAAAGAAAUUAAUAAUUUUAUUAAUCUUAAAGAGUUACAUCUUCACUGCAAUUAUGACAUAAAUUUUUAGUCAUCAAUCGCAUAAUAUUUUAUCUUAACGGAUGAUGUUCAGUCUUGGAAUUUAUAAUAUCUUGAAGGUUAGUAGCAUUGAAAAUAAGAAAUUGUUCAUGUGCUAAAAAGUUAACUUAGGAUUUAAGUUUUCCAAUAAAAGCGUUGAGAACUGGCGCUCCAUAGCAUUUCAUCAGAUAAAUAUGAAAAAUAGGCUAGAAGAAAUUAUUUUACUGAAAUAAGAGUUAAAAAGAGAGGAGAAGUACAGUACUCAUUACUUAGGUUUGCUGUGUGAGCUUAUUCUACUUGGGCUUUGGGCUUGAUUACACCCGUUAUAAUAAUAUGCUUUUACUUUCACCACACAUGAUGAUUUCUUUACCUUCCCAAUUAGGUUUUAGCAAUUUAUAUAUAAAUAACUAAAGCAUACUAAAGCUAGCAUUGAUGUACAGAUGAGUGGCGUAAAAAGUGUAUCUGUUUUCAUGUAUUAUUUAUUCUCUAAAACAUAUCUGAAUACAAUUCUUUCAAAAUACCGAGGAAAUAGCACAUGAAAUCGGAAAUAUUUUAUUGCGAUGAAAAUUCGUAUAUUCAUUGUAGUAGAACAUAUAAAAUAGAUUAUAAAUUUAUUAUUCUUUGAAACAAACCUGAUUAUAAUUCCUUCGAAAUUAAGUUUGUCAUUAAAUGAUUUCUCAGGAGCCCUACCAAAAGAAAUCGGGAAUUUGACCAAACUCAAGGAAUUAUCUCUUAACCAUAACAGGCUCCAAGGUGCGCACGAUCACAGAGUUUAAUUAUGAAAAUUGUUGCAUAAGUUGUAGUAUGAAUAAUGUUCCAUAAUACACUUUACACACGCUGAUUAAUUUGCAGGCGAAAUUCCUCGAGAGUUUGGCAAUCUUGCCGAAUUGGAGCUGAUGUGGUUAUCAGAAAACAAUCUCCAAGGUAUGAUUUUAAACUUAUUGCAAUUUUAUUCUAGCCUCUGCUUGCUUCUGUAUUCAUUCGUUUGUUCAUUAAUUAUGCUGUGAUUAAUUGUUUUUCUUUUAGAUAGAGAUAAAGCUCCAUGUCUCUCCUCACUCAUUUCCUUCUUUAAUUUAUGCAGAUAAAAAUUAAAAAAAUGUUUUGUAAUUUUCUUUUGUCAUAUUGCCACUUCCGUUUUGAAGCUCCCAAUAAGUCGAUGAAAAUGAAUGAUGUUUCAUUCUUAUUCUUGUCAGCCUAAUUCUUAUAUAAAUGAAGAGUAAAUUGUUAUUACGAUAUUCGUCAGCCAAUAAAUUCUUUUUUUUUCCCCCAAAUAUGAGUGAUCAAAUUGUUUGCGCAUAUAUAAAUGUACUUAAUUUGCAGGAGGUAUUCCACGGGAAUUGGGGAAUCUUACAAAAUUGGAGAUAUUACAUCUGUGGAAGAAUAACUUGACCGGUAACUUUCUUUACAAUAUAUAUAAGAGACAUCUUCCGCUUCUUAAUUAAUAGAUUUCAAGUCUCUCAUUAUAAAUUCUCAUAUGAGGAUGUGUCGUUACCUCUAUCUAACAUUAUUCCGUUUUUUAUUAGAAAUUAGUUUGUGUUAAUUCAAAAUUCUGUAGCAUUUAAAGAAAUUAAGAACACGUGGAAUAAAUCGUCAAUCUUUCUUCUUUACUGAAUUUGGAUUUCUCAAAAAUUAUCUCAACAAGUAUGCCUCACUAAUGAUAUGCAUGUGUGACAACUUCAUAAAAUAUUUUACAUGAAAUCACUAAUUAUCUUUAAAUAAUCAGAUAUGCCAUCACUGAUACAUAAUGUCUUAACAAGCAUCAUACCAAAAGAAAUCAACAAUUUUAUUAAUCUUAAAGAGUUACAUCUUCACUGCAAUUAUAACAUAAAUUUUUAGUCAUUAAUCGCAUAAUAUUUUAUCUUAACGGAUGAUGUUCAGUCUUUGAAAAUAAGAAAUUGUUCAUGUGCUAAAAAGUUAACUUAGUAUUUAAAGUUUUCCAAUUGAAAAUUUUGAAAAAAGCGUUGAGAACUGGCGCUCCAUAGUAUUUCAGCGGAUAAAUAUGAAAAAUAGGCUAGAAGAAAUUAUUUUACUGAAAUAAGAGUUAAAAAGAGAGGAGAAGUAUAGUAUUCAUGACUUCGGCUUUUUGUGUGUGCUUAUUCUACUUGGGCUUUGGGCUUGAUUACUCCCGUUAUAAUAAUAGGCUUUUACUUUCAGCACACAUGAUGAUUUCUUAACCUUCCCAAUUAGGUUAUAGCAAUUUAUAUAUAAAUAACUAAAGCAUGCUAAAGCUAGCAUUGAUGUACGGAUGAGUGGUGUCAAAAGUGUAUCUGUUUUUAUGUAUUAUUUAUUCUCUAAAACAUAUCUGAAUACAAUUCUUUCAAAAUACCGAGGAAAUAGCACAUGAAAUCGGAAAUAUUUUAUUGCGAUGAGAAUUCGUAUAUUCAUUGUAGUAGAACAUAUAAAAUAGAGUAUAAAUUUAUUAUUCUUUGAAACAAACUUGAUUAUAAUUCCUUCAAAAUUAAGUUUUUCAUUAAAUGAUUUCUUAGGAGCCAUACCAAAAGAAAUCGGAAAUUUGACCAAACUCAAGGAAUUACCUCUCUACAGUAACAGGCUCCAAGGUGCGCAUGAUCACAGAGUUUAAUUAUGAAAAUUGUUGCAUAAGUUGUAGUAUGAAUAAUGUUCCAUAAUACAGUUUACACACGAUGAUUAAUUUGCAGGCGAAAUUCCUCGAGAGUUUGGCAAUCUUGCCGAAUUGGAGAUGUUGUCGUUAUAUGAAAACAAACUCCAAGGUAUGAUUUUAAACUUUUUGCAAUUCUUAUAUUGUUGAAGAAUUAAUUGUUAUUAUGACAUUUUGAGAUUAAUUGUCAUAGGAGGAUGUGUUGUUAUUACUAUUUAACAUUAUCUCGUUUUUUAUUAGAAAUUAGUCUGUGUUUAUGCAAAAAAUUUUAGCUUCUAAAAAAAGUAUAAAAACACAUGGAAUAAAUCGAAAAUCUUUCUUCAUUACUGAAUUUGGAUUUCUCAAAAACUAUCAUGAUAGUUAUGUUAGUGUCUUACUAAUGAUAUGCAUGUGUGACAGCUUCAUAAAUUAUUUUAUAUGGAAAAUAUGAAAAAUAGACUUGAAAAAAAUUAUUUUACUGAAAUAAUAGUUAAAAAGAGUGGAGAAAUACAAUACUCAUGACUUAGGCUUGUUGUGUACUUAUUUUGCUUGGGCUUCGGGCUUGAUUACACAUGGUUGAACACUUACAUCCCCCCACAUAGGCUUUUAGGGAUGAGUGGCGUCAAAUGUGUAUCUACUUUUAUGUAUUAUUAUUCUUUGAAACAAAUCUGAUUAUAAUUCUUUUAAAAUACAGAUUAAAUAGCACGUGAAAUCGGAAAAUAUUUUACUGCGAUAAGAAUUCAUAUAUUCAUUGUACUAGCACAUAUAAAAUAGACUAUAAAUUUAGUUCCAAAAUACAUUCUUAUCUUCAUAUAAAUUUUACAUUAUUAAUUUAAAUUAAUAUUAAAAUAUGUUGUUUCUUUCACUAUGUUAUUUUAUUUACACAAUGAUGUGACUAUUGGAAUUAAUAAUACUUUUAAUGAUUUUGUAAAAAUAUAAAUUUAAUACUUUGUUAACAUUUUAUCUACAUAUAAUAAUUAAACUGAAACUUGUAUUUAAAAAAUUCUAGUUACACAUAUUCAUUUCAUGACAUAAAAGUGUAUAUUUAUGCUAAUUUACCAUUAUCAAAAAAAUGCUUUGAGACAAAUAAUCUAAUUUAUAUUUUUAUAUUUUAAAAUACUUGCAUUUAUUAUAUUUUGAAAAAAAUUUAUUUGCAAUUAUUUUAAACCGUUGGAUUCAAAUUUUCGUUGUUAUUAAAGUCAAAUGGUAUAAAUGUAUAAUAGUCAAAAACAUAUUUGUAUGAUCAUUUUUCAAUGUAUAAAUUUUCUUAGUUUGUAGGAAAAUUAGAAAUUGUUGAUUUACUCAUAAAUAAAUUUAAUGUUUAGCAUUUCAAUUUUGGAAAAUUUGAGCUACACUUUGAUAACUUUGAAUUGGUCGAGCCGAGUUUCGCUUCCUUGAUCCAUGGACCCAUUGAAAGUUCUAUCGAACUGAGUUUCCUGGUGCUUAUAAAAAGCAUUUCUUUUCCUUGUCGCAGUAAUUUAUUCACAAAUGAGUUGAUUAGCAUCGAAGUUACCUGAGAGUCUGAGACUAUGUUAAUAGGAGAAAUUUGAAAAGAAAUUAUUUUACUGAACUAAUUUAUUUUAUCUUGCUGUGACUGAAAUACUACUUUUUUUUUGGAGCAAUCACUGGGGCUUGAUUUACUUUAAUAGUAGCAGCCACCGACUUAGUCAUUUUUUACUUCUCACCACACAAUUUGAUCUUUUAAUUUGUUUUAACCAAUAAUCUAUCUAUCUAUUUCUCACCUAUUGCUUACUUAAAACACAUACAUAUUUUACCUACUAAUUUUUAUAAAUAUUAAUCAAAUAUAUUUUAUUACGUUUCCCUCGUAAUUGCUCCAAAUGUGUACAAUUAAUACUUAACCCUCCCUUUACUGUGCAAUCUAUCUAUCACUUAAGUCACAUAUAUAUUUUACCUAUAUUUUACCCUAAAAAAUAUAAAAAUAAAAGAAAAAGAAUAUGUGUAGCAAUUUGCAUAUAACUAACAAAGCAUUGACGGUGUGUAGCCUUUCAAUACUUCACGACUGGCUUUUCUUGUGUGUUAGUACUUGUAAUAAUUGUGUAGUGUAUAAAUGACAUUUUAUUAUUAAAGUGCGUCCAUUUUUAGAUAUUACUUAUUAUUUGAAAAAUAAACUGAAUAUAAUCAUUUAAAAUACAGGGGAGAUACCACUUGAAAUCAGUAAUCUCCAAAAACUGGAGGACUUGGGCCUUGGUCAAAACAAAUUAAUUGGUAUUGUCCCAGUUGCAAUCUUUAAUGUGUCAACACUCAAAUUUCUUGAGCUUCAAGAUAAUUCUCUCUCGGGAAGUCUUUCGUCCAUCGUAGACGUCCUACCAAAUCUUGAAAAGCUUCUUUUGUGGGGUAAUAAUUUUAGUGGCACAAUUCCUCAUUUCAUCUUUAAUGCUUCUAAGCUCUCUAUACUAGAGUUAUCACAGAACUCAUUCGCCGGUUUUAUUCCCAACACAUUUGGCAACUUAAGAAACCUUCAGCGGCUGAAAUUAUAUGAUAAUUAUUUGACAUCUUCAACUCCAGAAUUGAGCUUUCUAUUCUCGUUGUCAAAUUGCAAGUCUUUAACACAUCUUUCCUUAUCAAAUAAUCCACUAGAUGGCAUUCUUCCAAGGACGUCUGUCGGUAAUCUUUCUCAUUCUUUGAAAGAAUUUUACAUGUCCAAUUGUAAUGUUAGUGGCGGCAUCCCUGAAGAGAUCACCAACUUGACCAACUUGACAACCAUUUUUUUUGGGGGCAAUAAAUUGAAUGGAUCAAUUCCGAUUACUCUCGGCAAAUUACAGAAGCUUCAAGGUUUGGGUCUUGAAGAUAACAAAUUAGAAGGAUCAAUCCCAGACAAUAUUUGUCGUUUGACUGAACUGUAUGAGUUGGAGUUGGGUGGCAAUAAACUUUCUGGAUCAAUCCCUGCAUGCUUCAAUAAUCUGGCUUCUCUGAGGAUACUGUCGUUGGGUUCCAAUGAGUUAACUUCUAUUCCCUUAACUUUUUGGAACCUUAAGGAUAUCUUGCAACUCAAUUGUUCAUCAAAUUUUUUGACUGGCCAACUCCCAUCGGAGAUUGGAAAUUUGAAGGUUUUGGUUGGAAUUGAUUUUUCGAUGAAUAAUUUUUCAGGCGUUAUCCCAACAAAAAUUGGAGGCCUAAAAAAUCUAGAAUAUCUCUUCUUAGGAUAUAACAGAUUGCAAGGAUCAAUUCCUAAUUCAUUUGGUGACUUGAUAAGUUUGAAAUCCUUGAAUUUGUCUAAUAAUAAUCUCUCUGGAGCUAUUCCUGCAUCUUUAGAGAAACUGUCAUAUCUUGAAGAUCUAAAUCUUUCUUUCAACAAGCUGGAAGGAGAAAUUCCUACCGGAGGAUCUUUUGGAAACUUUUCAGCUGAAUCAUUUGAGGGAAAUGAAUUAUUAUGUGGUUCACCCAAUUUACAAGUCUCGCCAUGCAAAACUAGCAUCCACCGCACAUCAUGGAAAAAGUCUCUUCUCCUCGGGAUUGUCUUGCCAUUGAGUACUACAUUUAUGAUAGUAGUCAUUUUGUUGAUCCUAAGAUAUCGACAGAGAGGAAAACGACCAUCGAAUGAUGCUAGUAUGCCACUAGUAGCAAUGUGGAGAACGUUUUCAUACCUAGAACUCUGUCGAGCAACAGACGAAUUCAGUGAAAACAAUCUAAUCGGCAAAGGGGGUUUUGGCUCUGUUUAUAAGGCGAGACUUGGGGAUGGGAUGGAGGUUGUAGUGAAAGUUUUCAAUUUGCAAUGUGGAAGAGCAUUCAAGAGUUUCGAUGUUGAAUGUGAAAUGAUGAAAAGUAUUCGCCAUCGAAACCUUAUCAAAGUUAUUAGCAGUUGUUCAAAUGAAGAGUUUAAAGCGUUGGUAUUAGAAUACAUGCCUCAUGGAAGUUUGGAGAAGUAUUUGUAUUCAAGUAACUGCAUUUUGGAUAUUUUUCAAAGAUUGAACAUAAUGAUAGAUGUUGCAUCAGCUUUGGAAUAUCUGCACUUUGGUCAUUCAGCUCCAAUAAUUCACUGUGACUUAAAGCCAAGCAAUGUAUUGUUAGACGAUAAUAUGGUUGCUCAUUUGAGUGAUUUUAGCAUCGCAAAAUUGCUAACAGGAGACGAUCAAUCUAUGACUCAAACACAAACAUUUGCCACAAUAGGCUAUAUGGCACCAGGUUUGUCAAUAAAAAAAUUUUCUAUUUCUUGUAAACUUCCUAAUAAGUUGUUUAUGUUUCAUGAUCUUCAUUAGAUGAGGAAAUUCUUAUUGAUGAUAUAUCUUACUAUGUAACUAUUGCAAUUCAUAGAGUAUGGAAGAGAAGGACGAGUAUCCGCAAAUGGAGAUGUUUAUAGCUUCGGGAUUAUGUUAAUGGAAACUUUUACUGGGAAGAAACCCACAGAUGAAAUUUUUAACGAAGAAAUGACAUUAAAGCAAUGGGUUAAUGAUUGGCUACCCAUUUCCACAAUGGAAGUUGUUGAUGCUAAUUUGCUUAGUCAGGAGGACGUACAUUUUGUUGCAAAGGAGCAAUGUGUGUCAUUUGUCUUCAAUUUGGCUAUGGCGUGCACUGUGGAAUCUCCUGAGCAGAGAAUCAAUGCGAAAGAAAUUGUAACAAAGCUCUUAAAAAUUAGAGGCUCAUUACUUAGAAAUGUUGGAGGCAGAUGUAUAAGACAAUCAAAUUUAAAUUGAUUCUGCCACUCCAUUGCUUGCUAUCAUUUUCAGAGACUUGAAUGGUUAUCCUUCAUACCAGUUUUGUUGAUAUGUUUCGUUAUUGCUCUUGCUCAUGUUUGUUUCUCUAUUUCUUUAAUUUGCAUGCAUGUAUUUUUCGUUCUCUUUUAUGUUUUUGUUGGUUUGUAUGUAGUUUGUUUUUAGGGGUAAGGUUGAUUAUGUCCUCCCCUAAUUACAUGUAUCCUUUUUAUGUUUAUUCAAUAAAGCUUCUCUAAUACUAUCGAGGUUCAUCAAAAGAAAAUUUUUAAUUAAUUUUCUUUUCUUUGACAGGUAAUGAAAUUCUAAUCUUCAUAGUGAAUAACUUCAAUAAUAGAGUGUAAGAGUAUUAGUAGUUAUGGUUGUUUUUUUAACCUGGAGUCAAGAGCAAUUUAAUAGCAACAAACAAGUCUCUUGUAUUGUAGGCAAAAUUCUUUUCAUUAAUCUUGUUUGUCUACAUGUUCUCCUAUUUUCUCCAUUAAUCUUCGCUCUAGGUUUCAUGCUUCCUCUUUGAUAAAGGAAAAUAUUACUUGCGAAUAUUUCAAUUUGACAUAAGAGACUGUUUUGCCAACCAUUUGAUAAAAUGGAUAUGAGUGGAGCUUUCAAUCAUUACCUCCACCAAAAUCCUUACAACGCCACUUUUAAAUUUUAGUUUUUAAAAUACAUUCAGUUUAAUUUAUAAAAAAUAAAUCCAUUUGUUAAAAUUAAUCUUUUUCUCAUAAAUUUCAACCUAAAAAAUAUAUUUCUUUUAAAUUUUUAAUUAUAAAAUACAUACAAGUUCUAAAUUAUUAUAUUAUUUUCUUCUUAUUAUAUAGUUUAUAUCUCCCUAACUCUAAACUCCUAUAAUUUUUUUAAUUUAAAAUAUAAAUAUAAAAUAUAGAAUGGAGUGGGUAUAAAAAAACUUGUUAAAAGAAUAAUUCAUUUAAGUAUUUAACUGAAUUUAAAUUAAAAUAAAAAAUAAAUUAAUUUAUUUUUUAUUAGUUAAGUAAUUUUCAAUUGAAAAAGAGCUGUAUGCGUAAUAUUAUUGAAAUAUGAUUAAAAUUCUUAUAAAUUAAAUAUUUUCGUAUAAAUACUAGUGAUAAUUACAGAGAAAGGACGAGGAACCAAAGAAAACUUGAAUAUAAAUACUCCAAUGUAAUUUUACACAUGCAAAUUAUGAACCAGUGAUCUUUAGAGCAUCAUAAAAUUAUUUUGACAAAAUUAUUUAUUUUGAAAAAUUGCCAACAAUGUUUAAAGUGGGAUUGAAAAGAUUAUACUACUUAUAUAAGACAUGAUAUCAAUUAGACGGGCCCAGCUACCUUCCACCCGCUGGAAGGUAUAGCUUAUUUUGUCCUCUAUUGUUGUGGGCGUUGGAUAUUUGAGAAGUUGAUCUAACGGUUCUUGUUCGGCAGCGUGAAAUUGAAUUUCAAUUGGCAACCGUUUCAUGAACUUUGCAAGAGACAAUUAUCUACAAAAAUAUUAAAAAAAUAAAACCAAUUUUUCCCUUUCAUCAGCCGCCGCCGCCGCCAUCCACGAACCCUUAAUAUCAUCAUCACCAUCCCAAUCCUUAGUCGCCAUCCACAAGCUCUAACAACCACCAUGACUGCCAUCACAACCACCACUCCUCACAACCCCUAGCCACCACUACAAACAUUCACAAAUUCUAUCCAUCAUUGUCAGUUCACCAGCCUUAUCCUCCAUUGCCGCGGCCUACCAAUCAUCCACAACACCUAACCGUCGUCACCAACAAACUUUCGCCGCCGCUUCCUACAAGGAAGCCUCACCACCCACCGCCGCACACACUCAAAGCCACACCAACCUCCAUACUAUUGCGAAAGAGGCCACAAUGUAGAAAAAUUCCAGCAGAGGAAGGAUGUUUUCCUUCUCCAGCUGACUAUUCCUUUUUAUCCUUUUUUUGUUUUUUAAUUAUUAUAUUACUUUUAGUUAUUUUUAGUUUUUCUUUUAUUUUAUCUAUAUUUUGGUUGUUAGAAUGUUUUUGUUGUUGUUGUUGGCGGCAGUGCAGUUGUAGCUCGUGAUGAUGAUGGUGAUGUUGGUGUCAUUUUAAUCGAGAUUUGUUUCUUUUUACCGGCUACGUCAGUCAUCUUCAUUCACUACAUGUCCAUUUCUAACAUGUUAGAUUUUACUACUUUUUAAUCCAAGAGUUAGACCACAACGAGACAAAAGAUGGUGUACCUUCCAACGAGUGGAAGGUAGUUCGGCCCAAUUUAGACAGAGUCUAUGCAAUAAAAAUUUCAAAUUAAAAAAUAAACCCUUUAUUUUCUUUUAAUCAUAAGUGUGAUCUUAAUUAUUAAAGUCUUUCAAUGUCCAUUACUUAUUCAUUUUUUUAAUUACCUAAAUGACAUUGAAAACUCUACUCAAUAAUAAUUCGUUCAAAUGUUUUCUUUUAAAGUAAUCGGAAAUUGCAAAUGAAACAAAUGCUUGAAAUCACAAACGGCCUAAAAUUAGAUUUUCAUUUUUCAAUGUUGCAGUGACAUUGAUCUUGAUAUUGAAAUUUUAUUUGUAACUUAUAUAAAGGCCUCAAUUUUAUCAUAAUUGGUUAGUAAGGCUACGUAGGGAGCAUAGUCUGUUAGGACUAGCAACUUAGUCUAAAAUUAUUGAAAUUAUUAAUAUUUUAUACUAUAAUCUUUUCAUUCCCACUUUAAAUAUUAUUGGUAACUUAAAUCAUUUUUAAAAAUUAAAUAUAAAAAUUAAUUUAAUUAAAUAUAAAAAUCAUUUAAAUUAAAUAUUAACAUUAAUUUCAUAAUUUUUUUACCUAGAAUUUUAUACUAUAUUAAAUACUAAAAUUAUAUUCGAUAAUGUAUUAUCAUUUAUUUAAUAAAUGUUUAGGUUUUAGUAUGUUAUAUUAUUAUUUAAAUUAAUUUUGUAAUUUUAAUAUGGGCAAAUUAGAUAGUCCAGUGAACAAGAGACUGAUUCCCAACCAUCCUAAGAAUUAGUCCCUCAUUUUUUAUUUCUAAUUGGAUGUGGGUCCAGUUAUUUUGAUUUCUCUUGCAUUGAAUGAAUGGAUGAGUGCUAAUCCAUGCAAAGACUUCCAUGCAUACACAAUGAAUGCUUCAUCAAAGGUCUGGUAAAAUGUCAGCACGCUUGUUCAUCCGGAUUUUGGACCAUUUUCAUUGACAAUGAGAAAAGCUGCAAGAUCUGUAAAUCGGAAACUCAUUGAGGUGCCAAAAGAGAGAUGGAAGUGAAUUACUAGAGAGUUAGCGAAAAGAGGGUGCAGUGAUUGUGUGGGAAGCUUUGGGUAUACUUGGGGUUUGGAUGUGAGAUAAAAUAAUUUGAGAGAGAGGUUGUAACAAUUUUUCGGUAAUAGAGUUUUUCAGGUAAUUCUUGUGUUGUGUGAUUGGAGUAUUCUCUAUUGUAUUUUUUUUAUUUGUUAUUUAUUUGACGUAUUGCUAGCGGAGAUCUUGGGUGGGAACCAAAAAUUCCCAACAAUUGUCAAUUGUUUUAAACUCUAUUUCGAACAGAGCAUGAAGGGAUUCACUUAUCUGAUUAUGUCUUUUAUGCUUUAACUUCACUUGAUUUCAUCUUGUCUGUCACCUUUAUUAAAGUUGUAUAUGUUGGAGUAUUAGGUUCAUCACAAGGAUCAUAUUAUGGCUAAGGAAGGGGCACAGUUUAUCAGCUGCACUCAAGUGUAGCAGAGUAUUUGGAUUCAAGACUGUUAGAAGGUUGUUACAAUGCAAGGCUGUUGCUGUGUAACUGUAUGCCAUUCUCGCAAGUGCACUCUUAACAGAUUGCUGAGCUGGCACCGGAUGUUUUUAGCUAAUAUUAGUUAUUGGUCUAGAGUGUUCUGAUUUAUUCUAUAAAUAGCUCAUUUGAGCUUAGAACCUUUAUAGUGUAUCAUACGAUUCCCUCUCUUCUAUUAAUGAUUUUCUCUAUUCCUUUUUCUUUCACUUUCUCUUCCAUUUUCAUGAUCCCCAAACACCAUCAAUCCAUGAUUUUCUAGAGUAUUAGUUGUCUAUUUCUACAAACAUAGAAUUGUUGUUUUAAGAAACAAAGUACUCUGUCCUGUCACCCGCGGUAUCCUUGUUUAUCGACUUGUGAACAGGGCUAAAUAAACGGCAAAUAAGAUAUUGGGUCAAUGGGUCUAACGUGAAUCGAGGGGGCUUGGCUUGUACCAGGCUCUAAAAGAGUUUUCUACGAGCGAGCAGUCUUUCUAUCCUUUUUUUGGGGUUGCAUGCCUUAUAUUGAAUUAUUGCCCUUUUCUUUUCUCCACAAAUCUUUGGUUAAUUUUUUAGGUUCCCUCAACUUUUUUCCCCUUUAGCACUAAAAUUCAUAUUUGAUACUUUAUGCAAAAAUUAUGAUGAAAAUGAGUCACUUUAGAACAUCAAGAAAUUUUUAUUUUUACAUCCAAGAUAACGACAGUUACACUUAGAUCACUCUCAUUUAGUUGAAUUAUAUAGGUAAUAAAGUUGGCUUAACAAAAUAUGAUUCUUAACUGUUGUAAUUAAGGGCUAGUAUUCUUUGGUUUUAGUUGUAGGGCUCAUAAUGCCAUGGCUCAGUUCUUGGUGGGUUCGAAUUAUUAGACGAUCAUUCUCAAUUCUUUACGAUUCGUAAUUAAAAAUUCCUAUAUCACAAUUAGAACUUACAAACAAGUCAAAGUGGGUUAAAUCAUAUGUAUAAAUUCGAGGUCUAUUACAAACUUUUAAAAAAGAUUUUCUCUGUUUUUUUUUUCUUUCACCUUCUCUUCCAUUUUCUCAAUCCCCAAACACCACCAAUCCCUGAUUUUUUUAGUAUUAGCUGUCUAUUUCUACAAACAAGUUCUUGAAUUGAAUGGCUCCUCUUUUAUCCAUAGAUCUUUGCUUAAUAUUUUUGUUCCCUCAACCUUUUUCGGCCCUUUGCUCUAAAAUUCUUUUUUGAUACAUUACGCAAAAAUUAUGAUGAAAAUAAGUUACUUUAGAACAUCAAUAAAAUUUUAUUACAUCUAAGAUAAGACAAUUAUACUUAGAUUACUCUUAUUUAGUUGAAUUAUAUGUAAGAAAAUUAGUUCAAUAAAAUAUAAUCCGUAAAUAUUCCUUAUCACAUGAUUAACGUACUUAAAAAUUCUUAACUGAUCGGUCGCUUGUUUUACAAUUCUUUUAUAUAUCUUUGAAACUUUCAGCUUCCCAACACAUCAUAUUGUUCUCAAUUCGUCUAAUUUUUUUUUUUUCAAACACUGCAGCAACAACCAGUAUAAAAUAGUAUAAACUCAUUUAAUGGAAAUUUUCCUAGAUGCUUUCAUGGCAGAAUCUCAUUGGUCUAUUUCUCUUCGCAUCUUAGGUUCCUCUAACAAACCGGCCUCUUAACUCUCAUGUCCGAAUUUAAACUUAAAAGAUGUUCCCCGUCCCACGUGUCCCCAAAUCUUUGUAUUUCCAAACAAACCCCUGCCAACUAAGUCAAGUGAUAGGAUGGCUUUUAUUAUUUUUAAUCUCAUAUAUGAACGUUAUGGCCAUGGGACAUUGGAUAAAACUAAGUAAAGUGAUAGUGAUAGGAUGUCCCACUGUAUGAACGUUAUGGCCAUGGGACAUUGGAUAAAACUAAUGGAAUGUAAAGCAAAAUUACCGAUUAAACUAAAUUGAAAAUCCAACCAAUUGAAUCGGUUCAGUGUCACUCAAAAUAUGUGUGUGGUGGUGUGUGUAAAACAACACAAUUAUCAUAUUAAUGAGGCACUGUUAAAUUCAUUCAGCGAAUAUUUUUCUUUUUCAUUUUCAAUGAAUGCUUAAUAUGACAAACAAUCUGUCCCAUUGAGCACUGUUUAAGUCAUUCAAUGAAAAUGAAUACUUCUAUAACAAAACAAUAAUUCCCUUAUUUAUUUGAGACGCAAAGAACUUUCUUGCUCAGCUCGGCGGCCAAUCCUUUAAAUUUGUUAAAAUUCAGUUAAUUGAUGAACGAGAUAUAACCCAAUAAAUUGUUUAAUUUGUAUAAUUGAUAAAAAUUUGAACUUCAAAUAAUAUAGAUAGAAUGAUUAAUUUUUUUCAUAUUUAGAUAAUUGAUAUAUGUCAUGUUACUAUGAGUAAAAGAAUGAAGUGUAUGAUAGAAAACAUAAUGUUUAUGUUUGUAUUAAAAAUUUUAAGUGCAAAUCUAUUUAGUGUAGGUUAGACAUAGAAAUAGUUACCAACUUGUCUUGUUUCUCAUUUUGUUUAAUUUUCCUAAUUUGAAUAACUAUUAAUUAUGAGUCAAGGGUUUAUUGCGAAAAUAUGGUCUUCCAUUUACUAUAAAAAGAUUAGCGUGAUUUAAUUAUUUUUCUUUUUGCUUGGUGUCUGUAAAAUUAUGAAUACUUUGGUAAAUAAGAUAAUUAUAAAUACUAUUUUGAAAAUCCAUGGCCAUGGUUGUGAUGUAUCUUUAUCAAUCACGGAUACAAAAAUUAAUCAAAAUUAUCGAUUGUUUUAAAUUCUGUUUUUAACAAAGCAUGAAGAUGUUACUUAUCUAGAUUUAAUUUUUAUGCUUUCACUUCACUUAAUACAGCUUCUUCGCAGCAAGCAGAAGCGCUAUUGGUGACGAGAGGGAGAUCAACGGAACGCGGCCCCAGUGGGAGUCAAAAUCAGGGUAGAUCAAAAUCCAGAAGUAAGAAGAAUGUUAAAUGCUACAAAUGUGGCAAGAAAGGGCACGUCAAGAAAGAAUGUUGGAGUAACCAGAAGAGAAAAGAAGGCAAAGAAACUGAGUCAUCAAAUGCUCAGGGUUGUGUAGCAAGUACCUCGGAUGAUGGCGAAAUUCUUUACAGCUAGGCAACAACUGUUUCAGAAGGCAGAAAACGACUUUCUGAUGUCUGGCUUAUAGACUCAGGAGCUACCUGGCACAUGACCUCUAGGAGAGAAUGGUUCCACACAUAUGAACCUAUCUCAGGAGGAUCUGUAUAUAUGGGAGAUGAUCAUGCCUUGGAGAUCGCUGGUAUUGGUACUAUCAAAAUAAAAAUGUUUGAUGGUACAAUUCGCACAAUUGGAGAGGUACGACAUGUCAAUGGCCUGAAGAAAAAUCUAUUGUCUUUGGGACAAAUGGAUAGUCAUGGGUACAAAACUCAUGUGGAGAAUGGAAUUAUGAAGAUUGUUAAAGGCGCGCUUGUAUUGAUGAAGGCAGAAAAGAUCGGUGCUAAUCUAUUCAUGCUUAAAGGAGAAACACUACAGGAGGCUGAUGCGUGUGUCGCGUCAAAUGGAGAAGAAUCAACAAUGAUGUGGCAUCUCAAACUUGGUCACAUGUCAGAACAAGGUUUGAAGAUUCUCUCUGAGCGAAAAUUGCUUCCGGGGCUUAAAUCGGUAAGUUUACCAUUUUGCAAGCAUUGUGUUACAAGUAAGCAGCAUAGAUUAAAAUGAAGUAUUAUUUUCGACGAGGCGCCACCUAAUCAUUCGUUUUCUGGGUGAACAUAUUAUUUUCGCCAUCAUCUCUAUAACAAUGAAGUGAAAAUAGUUCUCAUUUAAAGUAUUGACAGCAAUGUUAUACUCAAUAUAACGUAUAAAGCACGCAUAAUUUAAUUAAUGGGGCAGCUGCUAGUACCUUCUUUAGAAGAGAAUUAUUGCGGCAAGGUAAUUGGAAGCUCAAAGAGUUUCCGUAUUAGCCGAAUCUAAGCGAUAAGUGUUUCCAUGUGAGCCAUAAUUUGCGAAAAAGACCAAUUCGAGUUAAAGAUCAGAAAACAAACACUGUCAACGAGCAUUAAUGUCAUUUGAUGCAUGAAAGACAAUUAGUCCCAUUUUUUGUCCUGUUUACUUGACUUGGGCAAUUUGCCGUCAACUUUUAUCAUCCACGUCAGGUAAUGUGGCUUUUAUUUGGUAUGAAAAAGCUAAUGCUUUACGAUAAAACUAUCACACACAUAUUUAUCCAUAUGUAAUGUUCAAAUGACACUCAAGUAUUGCCCAAAUUAGCCUUUUAAAAAUUCAUUUUCAAAAACCCAUGGUUGUGAUGUGUCUCUAUAAUUAAGAUCUAUCUGUUACCAACUGUUUUAACUAUGUUCUAAACAGAGCUUGAAAGGGUACAUUCACUUAUCUAGUUAUGUUUUUUAGGCUCUCACUUCUCACUUUACUUGAUUCACCUUAUCCCUCUUUUGAAACAAUUGUAUAUGUUGGGGUAUCAAGUGCAUCACAUCGAUCAUAAUCAUAUUAUUCACCUUAUCCGUCUUUUUAACAGACUGUUGAGAUGGCACCAAAGAUUGUAAAGUAAUUAGUACUGGAAAAUCAUGAGUUUGAUGAUGAAGAGGACGAAAAAUAUUAUUUUAUUAUUUAAAAUAAGACUAUCAAUUAUUUCCAUGGUCAUCUUGUUGUCCUCUUGAUCUUCAUAACAUCCAUAUUAAAUUACUGAGAAAUACGAAAGCGGAAGCGUACCUGAAUCCAUGAUGAUUCGUAGUGGUUCUUGAGUGUAGGAGACGGACUUCCAAUCUUCUCUUUCUCUUGAGUUUAGAAUUCUCUUUGAGAGGAUUAGAGAAUUGCAAAGGAUUAAAGAGAUUGGGGACCAUAACCCCUUUUAUAUAAAUAUCGUGACUAUUGGUAUUCUUUUAGAAAACCCAACAGUCACGUUAUUUAUGAUAAUAAUUAUCACUUCAGCCCCUCAUUAAAGUGAUGAUUAAAUUCUGGUAUCUAUGCAUUUAAUCCACAACAAUUAUACUCUUAGCCAUUUAAUUACCUUCAAAUAGAUCAUUUAAUUCUUGGCUUAUUAAAUAAUAGCACACACAUUUUAUUUAUUUCAUGUGUGGCCCCAAAUAUAUUAGAUUAAUAUAAAAUUGAUCUAACACAUCUUACUUUUUUUUUAUUAUUAAUUGGCCUAAAUAUUGUAUUUUUUGUCAGGAGUCUUGCAAUGCUGCGUAGCACCGUAAGUAAGAAGAAACGUGUCUAAGGUUGCCACGUGUAGUCUCAACAUGUGUGUGAAAACUGAAUUAACCAGUUUGCGUUCGACAACAAAGGAAAAUGCUUCUUGUUGCUGACCGAUUGCUAAGUAUUUCAAUACCUCCACCAAAAUCUUUAUAACACCCUUUUUAAUUUUAUUUUCUGAAAUACACUUAAUUUUUUAAAAAAAGAGCUUUAUGAGAAAUUUUCAAUCUGUCAAAAGGCCUACUUAAUGGACUGGAUCCCGACUCAUUAAUUUUAUAACCCGACUUACAAUCCGACUCAUUAUUCACAGAGAUUAAUUUGCUAUUGCUUAAGGUACAAUAUUUACUAAGCAAUUUAUCGGCAAUAAAACAUGUAUAUUAUAGUGGUUUGUAAUAAAAUUGGAAGAAGACAUCACGUACGAAUUGGAUUUAUCUCAUGAAAUUUGAUUAACGAAAGUGUAUGAAAAUAUAUAAAGAAAAUAGUAAAAAAAAUGUUGUGUAAAUGCUGUAUAGGUGAUAUAUUACUUUUAUAAUCCAUCAAGGUACAUUUGACUUUAAUGAUGAAACAAAUACAAAUAAAUCCAUGUACGUCAAUGCUAGAUGGCUCCAUAUUAAACUUGUGAAGUAUAGAAAAUAAGCGAGAUUCGUAAAAAAUAUUUUAGAUAAUACCACUGAAAAGUUAUAAAAAUAUUUUUUUAAGAAAAGAAAUACAUACUCGAGACACCAAGACCAACACGCACAAACUCACACAUUGACAUAUUAAUUGAGGGGAAAAUGAUAUUCUGAGUAAUAUUGUUGACAUAUGAUUAAAAUUCUUUUUAAUGAAACAUUUUCGCAUAAAUACUAGUGAUGUUUGUAGAGAAAGUAGAAUGAAGUGAAAAAAAUUUGAACAUAAAUGCUCCAAUAUAAUUUCGCCCAUGCAAAUUAUGAACUAGUGAAACUUUAAAUCAUCAUAAAAUUGUUUCCACAUAAGUAAUUAGUUUGAAAAAUUGCCAAUAAUGUUUAAAGUGGGAACGAAAAGAUUAUUCUAUAUGAGACACGAUAUUAUUUAAGACAGCUUACAAAUUAUGGGAAAUGUAUUGAUCUUACAAAUAAUAUUUAAUAAGUACAAAUUUCAAAUUAAAUAAUAAACCCUUGAUUUCCUUUUCAUCAGAAUUAUGAUCUUAAUAAUUAAAGUCAUUCAAUCUUAAUCACUUUUUCAUUUUUUUAAACUAUCUAAAUGACAUUGAAAACUUUACUCAAUAUUAAUUUAUUCGAAUGUUCUGUUUCAAAAUAAUUGAAAACUGUAAAUGAAACAAAUGCUUGCAAUCACAAAUGGCCUAAAAUGGGAUUUUUAUUUUUUAAUAUUGCAAUGACUUUGAUCUUGAUAUUGGAAAUUUAUUUGUAACUUAUACUAAGUCUUCAAUUUUAUCAAAAUUAGUUUCUAGAGAUGCAUUUGCCAUAAUGUGUAGUUGUAUUGUAUGAUGAUAUAUUACAUUAGGGUGCAUUGUAUUGAGCUGUAAUGCAAUACUAUUUUAUAUUAAUGUUAAAACUAAAUCAACCUUAUUUAAAUUUAUUAAUAUUUUAGGGUUUUAUUAGUAAUAUCUGAAAUUAAGUAUUAAAUAAUUAUUUUUAUAAUAUACAAAUUAUUUAAUAAUAUUCUACUAUUAAAUAAUAAAAUAUUACAAUAUUAUGUUAUAUUAUUAACAAUUAUUCUGUUAUAAUAUAAUUUAUUUUUAUAUAUUAGUUAUUAUAAUUCACUAACACGAAUUAAUUUCUACCAACAUUACCGAAUGAUUGUAUCGAUUUUUAAGCACGUAAACAUACCAGCUUUCUUUCUUUUACUCUCUAUUUCAUGUUUAUUCAAUUUCAAUCUUCUGCAAGUUUUUGGCUGUUUUAUUAGUUACAAAAUUCUCUAGGAUUGCAUGUAGAUUAUGGUUUUACGUGCAUUUUUUCUUCUUUUUUUUUUUUUUUUUGGGUAAACAUAUUAUUUUAUCAUCUAUCACUAUAAGAAUGAAAUGGAAAUAGUUCUCAUUUAAAGUAUUGACAGCAAUGUUAUACUCAACAUAACGUAUAAAGCACGCAUAAUUUAAUAAGGUUCUGUUUGGGAUUGAGGUGUUAUACUUUUUAAGUUACAGCUGCUGUGAAAAAAAAUUGUAACUCUAGAACAAAAGUUAAUAACAUUUAGUAAAUAUAAAUUUUAAAUAAUAAUUUUGAAAAAAUUAUUAAAGAUAUAAAGAUUUCCAUCAUAUAAGUGAAAAAUCAUAUCAACAUAGCUUCCAAGCUACAGCACUUAGUAUUUACCAAAUAUUCUAGUGCUGUACUUUUAAGUUACAACUGUCCAACCUCAAUCACAAACACACUCUAAAUGGGGUUGCUAAUAUCUUCUUUAAAAGAGAGUUAUCGCAGCCGCGUAAUUGGAAGCUCAAAGGGUUUCCAUAUUAGCCGAACCUAAGUGAUAAGUGUUUACAUAUGAGCCACAAUUUGGGGAAAAAAACAAUUCAAAGUUAAAGAUAAGAAAAGUGUGUCCCGGACGAAUACAAUAAUUCAAGCCACAGAUUUAUCAAACGCAUGGCAGAGACGCUUCAACAUGUUGUCUCAUGGAAAGAGAUCCUUCAGUCUUUGGCGUAAUACUUGGGGAAACGUAAAUUGACUUUACAUUAAAACAAAACAAAACAAACACUGUCGACAAACAUUAAUGUCAUGUAGUUAAGAAAAACUUACUUUAUCUUCGAUAAGUGCAAGAGAGGGGUGGGACAGUUGGACUCAUUUGAUGCAUGAAAGACAAUUAGUCCCAUUUUCUGUCUUGUUUACCUGACUUGGGCGAUUUGCCGUCAACUUUUCUCAUCUACGUCAGGUAAUAUGGCUUUUAUUUGAUAUGAAAAAGCCAAAACUUCGAUGAGCGGGACAUCACUGAUUUGUAUAAUUUUCAGGACUAGAAAAUUAUCUCAAUUUCAAAAUAUAUAAUUACAAUUAUCGAACACCACUAAUUCCAACAAUUUAUCCAAAGAUAUUUUUGAGCUUCAAGGAAUGUAACACUUAUGGUAGAAUGGUCAAAAUUUUCAACUUUUUAGAUAUUUGAUAUAUGCCAUGUUCUAACUUACAAUCAGAAUAAAAUUAUAGUAUAAUUUUUUUAAAUUAGUGGAAUUAUUUUACGAUAAAACUAUCACAAUAAAAUUUAAAUAUAAAGUUAUUCUUUAAUUUUUCACUACUAUUACUGAUAUUCUUAAACUCUUUGCUGAAUGGAGCAUGAAAGGACUACUUAUCUAGAUACGUUUUUUAUGCUUUCACUUCGCUUGAGCUUAGAACUUACAACUCGUAUUUUACGUUUCUCUUACUUUCUCUUCCAUUUUCCCGACACCCAAACACCAUCAAUCCUUGAUGUUGUAGAGUAUUGGCUGUCUAGUUCUACAAACAUGGACCUACUGUUAGUGCUUUAGAUCUUCAGACGGUUAGCUAACUAUUAUUUGAAUAUUAAAAUUAAUUUGUUAAAUAAAUAAAGAAAACAAGAGACAACUGCCAUAUCUAUUCCAUAUUAAUUAGUCACCGUCCCACUGACUCUGUCGAUUCACGCUUUGAUGAAGUGAAACGCUUAACGCACUAUUGUGAUGCGCAGGAGAGGAGGAAAACACAAUUUUAUUAUUGCAAUCCUGACACGCACAAAGAGCUUUCUUACAGGGCUUGGCAGCUAAUUCUUUAAAAUUUGUUAAAAUUCAUUUAAUUGAUGAAUGUGACAUAAAUCUCUAUAAAUAGUUUAAUUUGUAAAAUUGUUAAAAAUUUAAAAUUCAACUAGGGGUAGAUAAAAUGAUUAAUUUUCUCAAUAAUUAGAUAAUUGAUAUAUGUCAUGUUAUUAGGAGUGAAUGAAUGAAAUUUUCAAUAGAAAACACAAUGCUUGUAUUAACAAUUUUAAGUGCGAAUCUAUUUAGCGUAGGUUGUCCAUAAAAGUAGUUGCCGACUUGUCUUGUUUCUCAUUUUAUUUAAUUUUCAUAAAUUGGACUCACAAUCAAUUAUGAGUGAAGAGUUUGUUGGAAAAAUCUGCUCUUCCAUUUAUUGUAAUCAGAUGAGUGUAAUUUAAUCCUUUUUUUUUCUUUUGCUUGAUGUCCUGAAAAUUAUGAAUGGUUUGUACUACAAGAAAAACUAGAUAUAGCAACGAGUAUUUUACGUUUCUAAAACCAUUAACAACAUGCAUCCGCGUGCUGUGGAUCAAGAUGUUGUCUUUGGGUAAGUUACUUCUAACAAUAGCAAGACGCGUUGUUAAAACUCACGCGCUUGUAGUUAAAAAUGCUUUAAACAACGCAAAAUUUCUUUUAACAACAUGCAGUAUGAUCGUCGUGAAUUGUGUUACUUUAUUUUAUUUAUUUUAUAUCCACAUUUUGCUUACAAAAUCCUUUUAUUUAUUUUUUCCAAUAUUUCUUUUUUUUAAUAAAUAUUAAAAACUUACAGCUACAAACAAACUACUAAUUGAAUACAAAAAUUAUAGUUCAUAAAAAAAAUAGCAAUAAAUUUAUUUGAUAAUCACUACAAUUAAAACAAUUUAUAUUACAAAAUUCAAUACUCUCACAAAGAUAUCAUCAUUACAGUGAUCUCUUCAUCACAUACAAAGGCUUUGGAUGGAGCUUCUGAAUGCUGAUAACACCCAAAGCCUGCUUCAUAUAUCAUGUCAUUAGCAAUAAAAUCAAAUCUCCUAGACAAACAAAAUCAAGAUGAAUCGAAAUAUAUAGCCUAGCAAAUGAAAUUUCAAUUCACUCUCAAUAGAAUGAACUUUCUAAGAACUUAUCUUGUCCUAUUAUUAAAAUUAUAAAUUUUACAUAAAAUGAAAAGUUAAUUAUUGGCUAAAAAAUGAUACAUAAAAUGACCGUCCAAUUAAAUUGCAAGUGGGCAUUCCUACCAUUCUUGUCUCAUGCUUGUUAUAUUUAAAUUUACAAAUCACACCAUGUCAGUAUGGUGAUGAUGUAAAAUUGUUUCACCAAAUUUUUUAUCUUGAUAAUCUUGGUUAUAGAAAAAAUAUUGGGCGCUCCCAGUGGAUGCUUCUAUUGAGUGGCAGAAUCAGCAUUUUAUUUCGAUGGUAGCCAUAAUAAUUAAACUAUAAACUUAAGUUGAUUGUGAAAUAAAAUCAACGUUGUAAAUACUGCGUCCACAUUUUAUAUACAAACAUAUAUAUAUACAUACAUACAUACAUACAUAUAUAUAUAUGUAUGUAUGUAUGUAUGUAUUUUCGUUCAAUUAAUUAUUAUACCAUAUGAUGUAUUCAAUUAAUUAUUAUACCAUAUUAUUGUACAAAUUGAUGAUAAUAUGGUAUAAUAAUUUAUUUUAAUUUAUUUUCUUAAAAGAGAAUUCAUCAAUUUGUACAAUAAUAUGGUAUAAUAAUUAAUUGAACGAAAAUACAUACAUACAUACAUACAUACAUACAUACAUACAUAUAUAUAUAUAUAUAUAUAUAUAUAUAUAUAUAUAUUGUAUAAACUAACAUGGCAACAUAUGAUUGGUUAAUAAAAGAAUAAAUAUAUAUCAAGUGGGUUCUACCAUGUUUUUAAUUCAACUAAUGAUAAUAUGCCACAUCAAUUUGUACAACAAUAUUUGUGACUAUAUCAUUACUCGUUAAUUAAUAUGAACGCUAAUUUAUUUUCUUAAAAGAGAAUUCAUCAAUUUGUACAAUAAUAUUUUCACAAAAAUAUUUGUGACUGUAUCAAUACUCAUUAACUAAUAGACCGCUAUUUUAUUCUUCUUGAAAGAGAAUUACUGCAGCGAGGUUGGAGGCUCAAAGAGUUCUCAUUUAGCCAAACAUAAGAGAUAAGAGUUCACAAGAGACGUAAUUUGGAAAAUCAAUUCUAUCCAAUAGGCGAUAGGUCUCAAUGGAUUCGACUCAGUAUACGAUCAUUUGCGAUUUUUUAACGUCUUGUAAUUACAGAUUCCGAUAUCACAUUAUAAUUUUCAAACAAAUCAAAGUGAGUCAACUCAAAUUUAGAAAUUUGAGGUCUACUUUAAACUUUUGACAUUAAAUUUAAGAUAAUUAAGUAAAUGCUAGACAAAAUCUAACUUGUAAAUAUACCUUACUGCACGAUGAACGUUCUUAAAAAUCUUAACUGAUUGCUCACCAAUUAAUUGUUGUUUUAUAAUUUUGAUAUAUCCUUUCUUUUCCCUAAAACUUCUAGUUUCCUAACAUAUUGUUCUCAAUUGGUCUAAUUAUAAUGUAAUUUUUUUUUAAAUAUUAAAAAAAUGAAUUUAUUUAAUGGAAAUUAAAAAAAAAAAAAAGACACUUAUCUAUGCAAGCAAAGUUGCAUUCUGUUUGUGGGGACCUUAAAAGAAAAAGCAUAAUGAUACACUGAUGACGACAAUCCUUAAGUAUUUGUUUUCUUUAGUUACAGUUUGGUUCGAAUGGUUAAGUUCAAGUUCGAAUUUUCUUUAGUUACAUGUCAUAAGAUACUUUGCUCAAAGCUGCAAUUGGGCAACGCCGUGCUGUUCUUAUCGGCCAAUGCAAGCCAUUUACUAUUCUUUCUAAUGGAGCAAAAUAAGAUGAUUCUUACCUGCAUAGAGAAUUAGAAAAGAAAAGGAGGAUUACUGAUCCACAGAGCUGUCAUUUGCUAGAAGCACAUAAAUCUUACACUUAAUUCAUUAUCCAUAUGUAAUGUUCUAAUGAUACUUAAGUAUUACCUAAAUUAGCCUUUCAAAAUUUCACUUCGAAAAAAUCCAAGGUUGUGAUGUGUCUGUAUAAAUUCGCUAAUACAAGUUCUCUCUAUUCCCAAUUGUUUUAAACUCUGUUCUGAACAGAGCAUGAAAGGAUAUAUUCGUUUAUCUAGUUAUAUUUUUUAUGUUCUCACUUCACUUGAUUCACCUUCUCCAUCUUUUAAAACAGUUGUAUAUGUCGGAGUAUCAAGUUCAUCACAAGGAUCAUAUUAUGGCCAACAUAUACAACUGUUUUAAAAGUGUUAGUAGGUCGUAACACUAUAUGCCAUGCUGGCAAGCGUGCUAUGACUGAUUGCUAUUUGCACGUAAAAUUUGCCCAAAACAAAUAGAAUGAGAAUACUUGUACAAAAGGACGAGAUUAAUAAAGUGAAACCUAAGUGAUAAGAUUAAUGCUUGCCAAACCUAAGUGAUAAUAUGAGAUAUAAUUUGGAAAAAAAAAAAAAAUUCAAGUUAAAGAUAAAAAAUCUAUGUUCCUUAAAAAACAUAAUUCAAGCCACACAAUUUUUCUUGUUUUAUUUGAAAAAAAGAAAAUUGUGUUCCUCACAAAAACACUUUAACAUUUGUUGUCUCAUAGAGGGAAAUGUCCUUCACUCUUUGACGUAUCCCUGGGGCAAUGUAAGUUGACUUAAUUUUGACAAGUGCAAGAGAUUGGUGGGACUCAUUUGAUUCAAUUGAAACGUUGUCCACAAACUCUAUCACAAUCUAAUUUAAAAAAAAAAAGUUAUUCUUUAAAUUUCGCAUUACUAUUCCUACUUUUCUUGUUAUACUACUUAAUAGCACGGGUGAAGCCUCAAAUUAUCAAACAAAAGGCAAAAAUAGUUCAAUAUCUGCUGUCCCACUGAGCAUUGUUAAAUUCAUACGAUAAAAUGAGUACUUAUAUUAAAAAAAUAAUCAGUCUCAUUGCGUGCUCUUUCAUUGACAUAGGCAAUUUGCUGUCAACUUGUGGCAUUUUUAUGAAUUUUCAAGACGGGUGAAUUUUUCAAAUUUAAAAGAAAAAAAUGCAAAAAUGUAAUUUCAAUUUAUCCAAAAAUUUGAGUUUCAAGGAAUACAACAUUUAUUAUAUGUCAUGUUAAUAUAGAGAAGAAAAUUUUAAAAACUUAUUUUUGGAUGAAUAAAAGUAUUUUCUGAUAAAUAUUUCACAAUCAAAUUUAAAAAAUUUCACUCCUCUUGUUACAUAAUUUAAGAAUUUAACAUUAUAAAUUAAUCUUUUUAAUCAAAGUAAUAAUCUCUCCUCGGUCUGCAAAUGCUAAAAUUUAAUAUUAUAUCCAUUGACAAUAUUUGCUCCAAAUUCACGAAAAUAAAAUUUCUAACAGAAUUAUGAAAUUCGCUACUAGAAAUUUGUAUAAAAAUUGUGAGAAUAGAAGGUUUGAUCAUAGGAAAUUAAUAUAUCCCUAUCCAAAAUGAUUGUAAAGAAAAAAAAAAGUCAUGGGCUUAUUUAGAAAAAAAGAAAAAAUUACAUUCCAUUUUCCAGUUAUUAAAGUAAUUCUAAAAUCGCUAGGAUCACAAAGGAUAGGCUUUGGUUGACUGAGGUCAUGCCGGUCUUUUUCUUCUCUACAUUCUUAGAAAUUUUGGUUUCACUAUAAAUACUCGGUAUAUAGCAAACUUAUAAGUGUUCUUGAAUUACCAAUCCAACUAAGCACACGCUUACAAUAUAAAUACUCUCAUCUCAUGGAAAGACUUCAUUCUCUCAGGAUGAUGAGCAGAUUUCUCUUACUCCAUUGUUUGAUUCUUAUUUCCUUAUUUAUCGCGGCAGCAACAGCCAACACAAGUUCUACUAUCACAGACCGAGAUGCUCUGUUAGCCCUGAAAGCUCACAUAACUCAUGAUCCGACCAAUUUCUUGGCUAAGAAUUGGAACACAAGUACUCCUGUCUGUAAUUGGACAGGCGUCGCUUGUGAUGUCCAUAGCCAUAGAGUCACAGUCUUGAAUAUUUCAAGCUUAAAUCUCACGGGCACCAUCCCUUCUCAACUUGGGAAUCUUUCUUCUCUACAAUCACUCAAUCUCAGUUGUAACCGACUUUUUGGUUCCAUUCCCUCCGCCAUCUUCACCAUAUAUACACUGAAAUAUGUUAGUUUACGUGAAAAUCAGGUCUCCGGGCAAAUUCCUGCAAAUAUUUGCAGUAAUCUUCCUUUUCUGGAUUACCUUUCUUUGGGCAAAAACAUGUUUCAUGGAGGAAUACCGUCCGCUCUAUCAAAUUGCACAUAUUUGCAAAUCUUACAUUUGUCAUACAAUGAUUUCUCGGGAGCCGUACCUAAAGACAUCGGUAAUUUGAGCAAACUUAAGGAAUUAUAUCUUGGUCGUAACAGACUCCAAGGUGCGAAUAAUCACGGAGUUUAAUUAUGAAAAUUGUUCCACAAGUUGUAGUAUGAAUAAUGUUCCAUAAGACAAUUUGCACACGUUGAUUAAUUUGCAGGAGAAAUUCCUCGAGAGUUUGUCAACCUUACGGAAUUGGAGCGGAUGUCGUUAUCAGAAAACGAACUCCAAGGUAUGAUUAUGAACUUUUUGCAAUUUUAUUCUAGCCUCUGCUUGCAUCUGUAUUCAUUCGUUUGUUCGUCAAUUAUGCUCCAUGUUUUAUUGUUUUUUCUUUCAGAUAUAGAUAAAGCUCCAUGUCUCGCCUCACUCAUUUCAUUCUUUAAAUUAUGCAGAUAAAAAUUUUUAAAAAAUGUUUUGUAAUUUUCAUUUGUCAUAUUGCCGCUUCCGUUUUGAAGCUCCCAAUUAAGUCGAUGAAAAUGAAUGACGUUUCAUUCUUAUUCUUGUCAGCCUAAUUCUUAUAUAAAUGAAGAGUAAAUUGUUAUUACGAUAUUGGUCAGCCAAUAAAUUCUUCGUUUUUUUCCCCAAAUAUGAGUGAUCAAAUUGUUUGCGCAUAUAUAAAUGUACUUAAUUUGCAGGAGGUAUUCCACGGGAAUUGGGGAAUCUUACAAAAUUGGAGGGGUUACAGCUGUUUCGGAAUAAUUUGACUGGUAACUUUCUUUAGGAUAUAUAUAUAUGAGACAUCUUCCACUUCUUAAUUAAAAGAUUUCAAGUCUCUCAUUAUAAAUUCUCAUAUGAGGAUGUGUCGUUAGCACUAUCUAAUAUUAUUCUAUUUUUUUAUUAGAAAUUAGUUUGUGUUAAUUCAAAAUUCUAUAGCAUUUAAAAAAAAUUAAAAACACGUGGAAUAAAUCGUCGAUCUUUCUUCUUUACUGAAUUUGGAUUUCUCAAAAAUUAUCUCAACAAGUAUGCUUCACUAAUGCUAUGCACGUGUGACAACUUCAUAAAAUAUUUUACGUGGAAUCACUAAUUAUCUUUAAAUAAUUAGAGAUACCAUCAGUGAUACAUAAUUUCUUAACAAGCACCAUACCAAAAGAAAUCAACAAUUUUAUUAAUCUUAAAGAGUUACAUGCCUCUGUAUUAAUUCGUUUGUUCAUUAAUUAUGCUGUGAUUUAUUGUUUUUCUUUCAGAUAGAGAUAAAGCUCCAUCUCUGUCCUCACUCAUUUCAUUCUUUGAUUUAAGCAGAUAAAAAUAAAAAAAAAAUGUUUUGUAAUUUUCUUUUGUCAUAUUACCACUUCCAUUUUGAAGCUUCCAAUUAAGUCGAUGAAAAUGAAUGAUGUUUCAUUCUUAUUCUUGUCAGCCUAAUUCUUAUAUAAAUGAAGAGUAAAUUGUUAUUACGAUAAUCGUCAGCCAAUAAAUUCUUCUUUUUUUUUUGCCCCCAAAUAUGAGUGAUCAAAUUGUUUGCGCAUAUAUAAAUGUACUUAAUUUGCAGGAGGUAUUCCACGGGAAUUGGGGAAUCUUACAAAAUUGGAGAGGUUACAACUGUUCUGGAAUAACUUGACCGGUAGCUUUCUUUACAAUAUAUAUACGAGACAUCUUCCGCUUUUUAUUAGAAAUUAUAUAUUCAAGUUAAAUUAUUCCGUUUAUUAUUAGAAAUUAGUUUGUGUUAAUUCAAAAUUCUGUAGCAUUUAAAAAAAUUAAAAACACGUGGAAUAAAUUGUUAAUCUUUGCUCUUUACUGAAUUUGGACUUCUCAAAAAUAAUCUUGACAAGUAUGUUUCACUAAUGAUAUGCAUGUGUGACAACUUCACAAAAUAUUUUACAUGGAAUCACCAAUUAUCUUAAAAUAAUUGGAGAUGCCAUCAGUGAUACAUAAUUUCUUAACAAGCACCAUACCAAAAGAAAUCAACAAUUUUAUUAAUCUUAAAGAGUUACAUCUUCACUGCAAUUAUGACAUAAAUUUUUAGUCAUCAAUCGCAUAAUAUUUUAUCUUAACUGAUGAUGAUGUUCAAUCUUGGAAUUUAUAGUAUCUUGAAGGUUAGUAGCUUUGAAAAUAAGAAAUUGUUCGUUUGCUAAAAAGUUAACUUAGUAUUUAAGUUUUCCAAUUGAAAAUUUUGAAAAAAGCGUUGAGAGCUGGCGCUCCAUAGUAUUUCAGCGGAUAAAUAUGAAAAAUAGGCUAGAAGAAAUUAUUUUACUGAAAUAAGAGUUAAAAAGAUAGGAGAAGUACAGUACUCAUGACUUAGGCUUUCUGUGUGUGCUUAUUCUACUUGGGCUUUGGGCUUGAUUACGCCCGUUAUAAUAAUAGGCUUUUACUUUCACCACACAUGAUGAUUUCUUAACCUUCUCAAUUAGGUUAUAGCAAUUUAUAUAUAAAUAACUAAAGCAUACUAAAGCUAGCUUUGAUGUACGGAUGAGUGGCGUCAAAAGUGUAUCUGUUUUUAUGUAUUAUUUAUUCUCUAAAACAUAUCUGAAUACAAUUCUUUCAAAAUACCGAGGAACUAGCACAGGAAAUCGGAAAUAUUUUAUUGCGAUGAGAAUUCGUAUAUUCAUUGUAGUAGAACAUAUAAAAUAGAUUAUAAAUUUAUUAUUCUUUGAAACAAACCUGAUUAUAAUUCCUUCAAAAUUAAGUUUGUCAUUAAAUGAUUUCUCAGGAGCCAUACCAAAAGAAAUCGGGAAUUUGACCAAACUCAAGGAAUUAUCUCUUGACGGUAACAGGCUCCAAGGUGCGCAUGAUCACAGAGUUUAAUUAUGAAAAUUGUUGCAUAAGUUAUAUGGAUAUCCUUGAUAACCGCAGCAAGCAAACGAAAUCAAAUAAAAGCUAACUGAGACUCGAAUAUCCUAAACCCUGAAAAGGAAUGGUAAUGGUAUAAUAUGGAUUCUGUAGGCAUAUUUCACUGGACUCAACAUUUAUGGUUAAUUUACAACUCUUUGUUGGAAAGUCUGAGAAAUUGCUUUAUAUUAGGGGUGGGGAAAAUAAUGCUGGGCCACGAAUUUCAGGCAGAAUCCAGAUGGGGCCCUAUUAGACUUAUAGCUCAGCUCUGUGUCGAUAUCUGGGCCUUUACAAAUAAUUAAUGGGCCAAUUAAUAAUAAUAAAUAAAUUGAGAAGGGUGUGAGUGAAAUUAGAUAUGAAUGAAUCUGCCAGUGUAUGUACACAUUUUUCUAAUUAAUGCGUUAUGAGCCUGCCGCUGCUGGAAAUUAAAAAAUUUAAAUAUUUUAUAAUAUGGUAAUUAUUUUAUUUUAAGUCUCUAAUUUUUAAUUUAUUGAAAUCAUAUUUUUAUAUCUACUAUAAAAUAAGUAAAUGGGGAAUGGGGUGGGGAUGGGGGAAUCAUUCCCCACGUGGGGAUUCCUCAUCCCCAACUCACUAAAUUUAUUGGGGAAUGGGGUGAGGAAUGGAGGCAAAAAUUUUUAAUGGGAUGGGAAAUGGGGUAGGCAUCCCCACCCCCACCCCGCCCCAUUGCCAUCCCUAGCGUUAUGAGCCUGCCGCUGCCAGCAUGGAAAUUACAGCAACUAAGAAGAGAAUUGACCCAUUAAUUAAAUUAAAAAGAACACUGAAUAUAUAAGCAGUCAAAAUAUAGGUGAAGUAGGCAUGAAUUGUCACAUAACUAACUUUGAGAGUAAAACCGUGACUUGGGUUUGAAUGUUUGAUUAAGUUACUUCUAUUUCAAGUUGCUUAUUUUGCGUGGGCUUCCGGCUUAAUUACACACGGUCGAACACUUACACAGUUCCCCAGACAUAGGCUUUCACUUUUCACCACACAUUUGAUAAUUUCUUAGCCUUCCCAAUUAGAUUAUAGCAAUUUAUAUAUAAAUAACUAAAGCAUACAAAAGCCACCAUUGAUGUACGGAUGAGUGGUGUGAAAAGUGUAUCUUGUUUUAUUUAUUAUUGUUCUAUGAUACAAAUCUGAAUAAUGGAAUAUAAUGCUUUGAAAAUACCGAUGAAAUAGCACAUGAAAUCAGAAAAUAUUUUACUGCAAUAAGAAUUCAUAUAUUCAUUGUAGUAGCACAUAUAAAAUAGACUAUAAAUUUAAUUUUAAAAUACAUUCUUAUCUUCAUAUAAAUUUUACAUUACUAAUUUAAAUUAACAUUAAAAUAUGUUGUUUCUUUCACUAUGUUAUUUUAUUUACACAAUGAUGUGACUAUUGGAAUUAAUAAUACUUAUAAUUAUUUUGUAAAAAUAUAAAUUUAAUACUUUGUUAACAUUUUAUCUACAUAUAAUAAUUAAACUGAAACUUGUAUUUAAAAAACACUAGUUACGCAUAUUCAUUUCAUGACAUAAAAAUGUAUAUUUAUGCUAAUUUACCGGUAUCAACAAAAUGCUUUGAGACAAAUAAUCUAAUUUAUAUUUGUAUAUUUAAAAACUUGCAUUUAUUAUAUUUUGAAAAAAAUUUAUUUGCAAUUAUUUUAAACCGUUGGAAGUUGGAUUCAAAUUUUUGUAGUUAUUAAAGUCAAAGGGUAUAAAUGUGUAAUAGUCAAAAACAGAUUUGUAUGAUCAUUUUUCAAUGUAUAAAUUUUCUUAGUUAGUAGGAAAAUUGGAAAUUGUUGAUUUACUCAUAAAUAAAUUUAAUGUUUAGCAUUUCAAUUUUGGAAAACUUGACCCACGGACCCAUUGAAAGUUUUAUUCGAAUUGAGUUUCCCGGUGCUUACUCAUUUUAUUUACAAAUGAGUUGAUUAGCAUCGAAGUUACUUGAGAGUCUGAGACCAUGCUAGUAGGAGAAAUUUGAAAAGAAAUUAUUUUACUGAAUUAAUUUAUUUUAUCUUGUUGUAACUGAAAUACUACUUUUUUUUUGGGCUGUCACUGGGGCUUGAUUUACUUUAAUAGUAGCAGCCACCGACUUAGGCGUUUUUUACUUCUCACCAGACAAUUUGAUCUUUUAAUUCGUUUUAACCACAUAAUCUAUCUAUUUCUCACCUAUUGCUUACUUAAAUCGCAUACAUAUUUUACCUACUAAUUUUUAUAAAUAUUAGUCAAAUAUAUUUUAUUACGUUUCUCUCGUAACUGCUCCAAAUGUGUACUAUUAAUACUUAACCCUCCCUUUUAAUUUACUGUGCAAUCUAUCUAUCACUUAAGUCACAUAUAUAUAUUUUACCUAGAUUUUAACCCAAAAAAUAUAAAAAUAAAAGAAAAAGAAUAUGUGUAGCAAUUUGCAUAUAACUAACAAAGCAUUGAUGGCGUGUAGCCUUUCAAUACUUCACGAGUGGCUUUUCUUGUGUGUUAGUACUUGUAAUAAUUGUGUAGCGUAUAAAUGACAUUUUAUUAUUAAAGUGCGUCCAUUUUUAGA
rnacentral:lncRNA from 1 species